AUGGCCGGCCCUCUACAUGGAGGAGGGCAAGGGAGUUUUAUAGUCGAACCCCCGGCCUACAAUAUGGAUAAUAAGUACUAAAGGGGGCCUGACUCGGAGCCUCUCUAAAGAGCCAGCGGGCCCGUCGUUGAGCAGUCUUGUCGUCUGCGGGGUCCGUCGGCUGCAGGGUCCCAUCAUGCCCUGGGACCCGUCGGCUGGCCAAUGGGAGCGACGCGUGUUCCACACGCGUAUCACGGGAGCUGCAGAGGACGUAGACUUGCGGGAUCCGACACCAGUCAGCGGUACGGCCGCCUCCUCUGUAGCCACACCUAGCCUAGUAAUGGAGUGGGUGAUGGCGUGCAGGCACUGUACACGAUUGACAGGUCGUAGCCCGCACCGGUCAGCGGGACGACCGCCACCACUGUAGCCACGCGUAUCUCUCUUCAUUGUACCUGGGCUAACAUACAUUCGUCUUCAAGCGAAGGCUCUUGUCGUGUCCAAGGGGACGAGUUGACAGGUGCUCCCUAGUCGGCUGGCGGCUGCUACGGCAACACACAACAACGCCAGAAAUUGACACGUUGACGGAGACUGGGCUUGCGUUCGUUUUUCCCUUGAAGAGGAAAGGGUGAUGCAGCACAGGAGCAGUAAGUAUUUCCCUCAGUUUGAGAACCAAGGUAUCAAUCCAGUAGGAGAAUCUCGUCAAGUCCACAGUACCUACACAAACACAAAAGAGCUUGCACCCAACGCUGUAAAGGGGUUGUCAAUCCCUUCAAGAUUGUUUGCAAAGUGAGAUCUGAAGGCGGAAAGUGCAACGAAGUAAAAAGUGUAAGGCUGAAAAUAUGGUGUGGAGUAGACCCUGGGGGCCAUAGUGUUCACUAGAGGCUUCUCUCAAAAUAGCAAGUAUUACGGUGGGUGAACAAAUUACUGUCGAGCAAUUGAUAGAACCGCGCAAAGUCAUGACGAUAUCUAAGGCAAUGAUCAUACAUAUAGGCNNNNNNNNNNNNNNNNNNNNNNNNNNNNNNNNNNNNNNNNNNNNNNNNNNNNNNNNNNNNNNNNNNNNNNNNNNNNNNNNNNNNNNNNNNNNNNNNNNNNNNNNNNNNNNNNNNNNNNNNNNNNNNNNNNNNNNNNNNNNNNNNNNNNNNNNNNNNNNNNNNNNNNNNNNNNNNNNNNNNNNNNNNNNNNNNNNNNNNNNNNNNNNNNNNNNNNNNNNNNNNNNNNNNNNNNNNNNNNNNNNNNNNNNNNNNNNNNNNNNNNNNNNNNNNNNNNNNNNNNNNNNNNNNNNNNNNNNNNNNNAUGAUCAUACAUAUAGGCAUCACGUCCGAGACAAGUAGACCGAUACUUUCUGCAUCUACUACUAUUACUCCACACAUCGACCGCUAUCCAGCAUGCAUCUAGUGUAUUGAGUUCAUGACAAACAGAGUAACGCCUUAAGCAACAUGACAUGAUGUAGAGGGAUAAUCUCAAACCAAUGAUGAAACCCCCAUCUUUUUACCCUUGAUGCCAACAACACGAUGCGUGCCUCGCUACCCCUUCUUUCACUGGGUGAGGUCACCGUACGGUAUGAACCCAAAACCAAGCACUUCUCCCAUUGCAAGAAUCAUAGAUCUAGUUGGCCAAAAGAAAGUUAUCCCUACAAAAUCAUAUAGUCUGGCUAUGCUCCAUCAUCCUCACACAACUAAUGUAAAUCAUGCACAACCCCGGUAUUGGCCAAGUAAUUGUUUUUGCACUCUUACUUUCUCAAACUUUUUAUAACUACCACGCAAUACAUGAGCGUGAGCCAUGGAUAUAGCACUAUAGGUGGAAUAGAGUGUGGUGGUGGUUGUGAGACAAAGAGGAGGAGAUGGUCACAUUGACUCGGCGUAUCAAAAGGCUAUGGAGAUGCCCAUUAAUAGAUAUCAAUGUGAAUGAGUAGGGAUUGCCAUACAAAGGAUGCACUAGAGCUAUAAGUAUGUGAAAGCUCAAAAGUAGAACUAGUGGGUGUGCAUCCAACUUGCUUGCUCACGAAGACCUAGGGCAAUUUUGAGGAAGCGCAUCAUUGGAAUAUACAAGCCAAGUUAUAUAAUGAAGAUUCCCACUAGCAUAUGGUAGUGACAAGGCAAGAAGAUCUCAAUCAUGAAGAACAUGGUGCUAUUAUGAAGCACAAGUGCGGAAAAAGAUAGUAGCAUUGUCCCUUCUCUCUUUUUUUAUUUGGGCUCUUAGGCCUCUUUUUUUCUUUUUUUCUUUUUUUCUUUUUUUAUUGGGCUCUUUGGCCUCUUUUUAUUAUUAUUUCCUCACAUGGGACAAUGCUCUAAUAAUGAUGAUCAUCACACUUUUAUUUACUCACAUCUCAAAGCUCAAAAUGAUGAUGACUCUAUAGGAAAUGCCUCCGGCAGUGUACCGGGAUGUGCAACGAUCUAGCAAGGCGUAUGACGUUGAAACAUCUCGCUAGCUAUCUUACGAUCAUGCAAUGGCAAUAUGAUAGUGACGGCACAAGUCAUGAGACGGAACGGUGGGAGUUGCAUGGCAAUAUAUCUCGGAAUGGCUAUGAAAAUGCCAUAGUAGGUAGGUAUGGUGGCUGUUUUGAGGAAGGCAUAUGGUGGGUUUGUGCACCGGCGAGAAUUGCGCGGCACUAGAGAGGCUAGCAAUGGUGGAAGGUGAAGUGCAUCUAUACCAUGGACUCACAUUAGUCAUGAAGAACUCACAUACUUGUUGCGAAAGUUUUUAUUAGUAAUCAAAAUAAAGUGCUAAACGCAUACUCCGAGGGGAAGGGUUGGUAGGUGUAAACCAUCGCGCGAUCCCGACCUCAACACAAAGGAUGACAAUCAAUAGAUCAAUUAUGCUCCGACUUCCUAACAUAGCGGUUCACCAUACGUGCAUGCUAUGGGAAUCACUAACUUCAACACAAGUAUUUCUUGAUUCACAACACCCUACUAACAUAACUCUUAAUAUUACCGAUUCCAUGUCUCAAAACUAAUUGAGAGGAAUCAAGACUUCUCUUUCUACUCAAUGCACAUGAAGAUGGAGGUUUUUGUAUCCUCUUUGGGUACCUAUCAUAUAUGGGACUACUUUCAUAGCAUAAGCCAAUCUACCAAGUCACGCACCGCCGUGCUCUAAAAUAUAUAAGUGGAGCAGAUAGAGCAAAAUUAUCUAGCUCAAAAUAUAUAAGAGAAGCACUAUGAGCAAAGGUAUCUAGCUGAAAAGAUAUAAGUGAUGCACUAUGAGCAUUCUAGCAAAAAUCACGAUGAGUGAAUGUCUCUCUCUCUCAAAAGGUGUGCAACAAGGAUGAUUGUGACACAACAAAAAGAAAAGACUCCUACGAUACAAGACGCUCCAAGAAAAACACAUAUCAUGUGGUGAAUAAAAAUAUAACUCUAAGUAAUGUUACCGAUGGAUUGAAGACGAAAGAGGGGAUGCCUUCCCGGGGCAUCCCCAAGCUUAGGCUUUUUGGUGUCCUUGAAUUUGGCUUGGGAUGCCUUGGGUAUCCCCAUGAUUGAGCUAUUUCCACUCCUUAUCUCUUUGUCCAUGAGAACAUCACCCAAAACUUGAAAACUUCACAACACAAAACUUAAACAGAAACUCGUGAUAACAUUAGCACAAGAAAACAAACUACCACCUCUUUUGGUACUGUAGAAAACUUGAAUUCCAUCUAUAUUGGUGUUGGCCUACUGUAUUCUCACUUUUCCAUGGCUAGUACCCCCCGAUACUAACAAUAGUUUCAUCAAAACAAGCAACCAACUCAACAAAAACAGAAUCUGUCAAAAACAUACCAGUCUGUAGCAAUCUGUAUACUUCGUAUACUUCUGGUACCUCGGAAACUCUGAAAAAUUACGACGGCCUGGGCAAAAGGCAUAUCAACCAGCAGCAAAAAGAAUCAACUCAAAACCUCUUUCUGAAUAAAAAUGAAAAAUCAUCUCGUGAGCGAAAAGUUUCUGCCUUUUUCCAGCAGGAUCAACACAACCAUCACCAAGACUAAUCAUAAAGGUUUUGCUUGGUUCAAACACAAAAAAGAAACACAAAAAGCACAAUCACAACAGAAUUAUGAAAGUGUGGAUGCAACAAAACAGAAAGAAAAAUAUAAAUUCAUUGGGUUGCCUCCCAACAAGCGCUAUUGUUUAACGCCCUUAGCUAGGCAUAAAAGCGAUAGAAUCACGUAUCGUCGUCUUUGGUGCUCAAACCAUAAGUGGCCCUCCUCAUGGAUUCAUAAGGAAAUCUUAUUUUCUUUAUAGGAAAUUGUUUCAUGCCCUUCCUUAAAGGAAAUUGAAAUCUAAUAUUCCCUUCCUUCAUAUCGAUGAUAGCACCGAUAGUCCUUAGGAAAGGUCUACCAAGAAUAAUAGGGCAUGUAGGAUUGCAAUCAAUGUCAAGCACAAUGAAAUCCACGGGUACAUAGUUCCUAUUUGCAAUAAUAAGAACAUCAUUGAUCCUUCCUAUGGGUUUCUUGACAGUAGAAUCAGCAAGAUGCAAAUUAAGAGAACACUCUUCAAUCUCAUUAAAACCCAGAGCAUCACAUAAAGACUUUGGAAUCGCGGAAACACUAGCACCUAAAUCACACAAAGCAUUGCAUUCAUGUUUUUUGAUUUUGUUUUUGAUAAUAGGUUCCCACUCAUCAUGAAGCUUUAUAGGGAUAGAGACUUCCAAUUCAAGUUUCUCUUCAAGAGAUUUUAUCAUAGCUUCGACGAUAUGAUCGGUAAAGGCCUUGUUUUGACUAUAAGCGUGUGGAGAGUUUAACAUGGAUUGCAUCAAGGAGAUGCAUUCAAUCAAGGAGCAACUAUCAUAAUUGAAUUCCUUGAAAUCGAAGGUAGUAAGUUCAUUACUACUCAAAGUUUUAAUAUCUUCUACUCCACUUUCAAUGCUUUUAGCAUCAAGAUAGAUGGACUCCGAAUCAUUGGGGCACUUUUCAACCAAAGUGGGUUCAUAACCAGCCCCAUAAUCAAUAGGUUUGACACAAGAAAACAAAGAUUCAAUGGGAGUCACACCAAGCACUUUAAGAUCUUCGUGAUUCUUAUCACGAGAACACGCCUUUUUAAGCCAUUCAUGUCUAGCACGAAUUUGGGCGGUUCUUUCUUUGCUCUCAAUCAUGGAAACACGCAUAGCUUUCAAAGUUUCAUCCAUAUUCAUCUUGGGAGGAGCACAUCUAACUUUCAAAGCAUUAACAUCACUAGACAUUCUAUCAACGCUCUUAGCCAAAUCGUCAAUUUUGAGUAGUUUUUCCUCUAUGGACGUAUUGAAAUUUUUUUGCGAGUUGAUGAACUCUUUGAUAUUACUCUCUAGAUCAGAGGGUAAUAUAUUAUAAUUUCCAUGAGUAUUGUUGUAGGAGUUGCCAAAGUUGUUAGAGGAUUUACUAGGAAAAGGCCUAGGAACAUAGUUUCCUCUAAAAGCAUUGUUGUUGCCAAAGUUAUUCCUACCAAUAAGAUUAACGUCCAAGCUAGCGUUGCUACUCUCAAUCAAAUAAGACAAGGGCAUAUCAUUAGGAUCUAAAGGAGAACUUCUACUAGCAACCAAAUUCAUUAACUCAUCCAUCUUAGCACUCAACGAGUUAAUUUCUUCUCUAGCGUGUACCUUCUUACUAGUAGGUGACCUUUGAGUGUGCCACUGAGAGUAGUUCGUCAUGAUAUUGUCUAGAAGCUUUGUGGCCUCCCCUAACAUGAUUUUCAUGAACGUUCCACCUGAGGCGGAGUCCAAGAUAUUUCUAGAAGCGAAAUUCAAGCAAGCAUAAAAGAUUUGUAUAAUCAUCCAAAGACUCAAGCCAUGAGCGGGACAAUUUGUAAUCAUUAAUUUCAUUCUCACCCAAGAUUGUGCAACAUGUUCAUGAUCAAGUUGCUUGAAAUUCAUGAUAUCAUUAUGGAGAGAGAUGAUCUUAGCCGGUGGAAAAUGCUUGGAAAUAUAAGCAUCUUUGCACUUAUCCCAAGAAUCGAUACUAUUUUUGGGCAAAGAAGAAAACCAAGUUUUUGCGCGAUCUCGCAACGAGAAAGGAAAAGCUUCAAUUUAAUCACAUCAUUAUCCACAUCUUUCUUCUUUUGCAUAUCGCAAAGCUCAAUGAAGGUAUUGAGAUGGGAUGCGGCAUCUUCACUAGGAAGGCCGGAGAAUUGCUCUUUCAUAACAAGAUUCAACAAAGCGGCAUUGAUUUCGUAUGACUCCGCACUAGUGGCGGGAGCAAUCGGAGUACUAAUAAAAUCAUUAUUAUUAGUAUUCGAGAAGUCACAAAGUUUGGUGUUUUCAUUCAUGAUGACUUCCGCAAGCAAGCAAGCACACAAGCGAACAAAGAGCAAGCGAGAAAAAGGGCGAACGAAAAGGCGAACGAAAAAGGCAAACGAAAAAGGAAAAUUGGUGAAGUGGGGGAGAGGAAAACGAGAGGCAACUCGCAAACAAAGUAAAUGCAAGAGAUGAGUUUGCGACACCUACUUGGAUAAGUUCUUGACUUGAUCCUCCCCGGCAACGGCGCCAAAAAUUCUUCUGCUAGGGCAACAGACAACAGCGCCAGAAAUUGACACGUUGCUGGAGACUGGGCUUGCAUUGGUUUUUCCCUUGAAGAGGAAAGGGUGAUGCAGCACAGGAGCAGUAAGUAUUUCCCUCAGUUUGAGAACCAAGGUAUCAAUCCAGUAGGAGAAUCUCGUCAAGUCUAGAGUACCUGUACAAACACAAAAGAGCUUGCACCCAACGCUGUAAAGGGGUUGUCAAUCCCUUCAUGAUUGUUUGCAAAGUGAGAUCUAAAGGCGGAAAGUGCAACGAAGUAAAAAAGUGUAAGGAUGAAAAUAUGGUGUGGAGUAGACCCUGGGGGCCAUAGUGUUCACUAGAGGCUUCUCUCAAAAUAGCAAGUAUUACGGUGGGUGAACAAAUUACUGUCGAGCAAUUGAUAGAACCGCGCAAAGUCAUGACGAUAUCUAAGGCAAUGAUCAUACAUAUAGGCGUCACGUCUGAGACAAGUAGACCGAUACUUUUUGCAUCUACUACUAUUACUCCACACAUAGACCGCUAUCCAGCAUGCAUCUAGUGUAUUGAGUUCAUGACGAACAGAGUAACGCCUUAAGCAAGAUGACAUGAUGUAGAGGGAUAAUCUCAAACCAAGCACUUCUCCCAUUGCAAGAAUCAUAGAUCUAGUUGGCCAGACAAAACCCACAACUCGAAGAGAAUUACAAGGAUAUGAAAUCAUGCAUAAGAGAGACCAGAAGAAACUCAAAUAAGAUUCAUAGAUAAUCUGAUCAAAAAUCCACAAUUCAUCGGAUCUCGACAAACACACCACAAAAGAAGAUUACAUCGGAUAGAUCUCCAUAAAGAUCAUGGAGAACUUUGUAUUGAAGAUCCAAGUGAGAGAAGAAGCCAUCUAGUUACUAGCUAUGGACCCGUAGGUCUAUGGUGAACUACUCACGCAUCACCGGAGAGGUCAUGGUGUUGAUGAACAAGCCCUCCGUAUCCGAAUCCCCCCUCCGGCAGGGCACCAGAACGUGCACCUGAUGGGAUCUUGCGGAGACAGAAGCUUGUGACGGCGGAAAAGUGCUUUCGAUGAUCUCCUGAUUUUUUGUAGAAUUUUUGGGGAUAUAUAGGUGCAAAACCUAGGGCAAAGGAGGUCCAGGGGGACCACAAAUCUAUGGGCCGCGGCCUCCCCCCUGGCCGAGGGGUGAGGGCUUGUGGGGCCCCUGGGGCCCCCUGCCUUGGCUCUCAAGUCUCCUGAUCUUCUUCCAUUACGGGAAAAAACUUUUCGGGGAUUUUAUUCCGUUUGGACUCCAUUUCAAAAUCUCCUCUGAAAGGAGUCAAAAACAUGGAAAAAACAGGAACUGGCACUUGGCACUGAGUUAAUAAGUUAGUCCCAAAUAAUAUAUAAAAGGCAUGCAAAACAUCCAAAGUUUGACAAGAUAAUAGAAUGAAACCAUCAAAAAUUAUAGAUACGUUGGAGACGUAUCAGCGGCUAGUCAUCCGGCGAGAGAGUAAACAGCCGUGCCCCUAGCCUGCACGGGUUGCGUAGCCGACCAGGGAGUAGACGGCAGUGCCCCUAGCCGGUACGGGUUGCGUAGCCGGCCAGGGGGAGCCAACACUUGAGGAUACUUUCUCCCUAAGUUAUGCUGAAAGGCUAUGGAGUAGGCUUGAUGAGCCUAUCCCGGGGUUAUCCCCCCGUCAAUAGUCUCCGAAGCAGGGGAGGCCCACCGUCUCGAGGAGGAGGGCCUCGCCGGAUUGGAGGUUGCGCCUGUGGGCCGACAGCCGGCCGACCCAUAGGUUGAAGGCGGCCAGGCUGGCAGUCGGUCAGCUUCGGCUAGACGCCUUAGCUUCUUCGUUUUAAUGCGGCGAUACGCCACGCGUUGGACUUCGGGAGCCGUUCCCUGACACACCAGCGAGUGACAAGACUGGGCAUGUGGUGAGGGGGCCCGGCACGCCGCGAUGUCGGCCCACGCGCAAGGAUCUUCUGCGGAAAAUAGUGCGGUGGUUGGCGUCUCGGAGUGCAUUAACUUCUCCGCGUAGCGCGGUGGGAAUGAGGAUCGUGCGCACCGGAUCCCCUUCCCCCACUACCCACCCCAGGGUUUAAAUGGACACGAGGGGAGGCCGAAGUAGCAAUGCGCCCCUUGUUCCUCAUCGUCGCGACGCCCCCUAUCCCUCCUCCCGCACUGAGAGAGAAAGAGAGAGAGGUGCAUGGUCGCAAGCUCGCCGCAACUCGCCGCCGACAUCACACGCACCUUCGACGACCUUCGCAUCGCCAUCAACAUGUCCCGAGCCGCUCCUAAAGCAAAGGGGACGCGGGGCACUUAUGGAGGAGCACAUCGACAACUUCCGCCAUCGCCACAUGUUGCCUCCGACAGAGCUCGUUGUCGCACGCGUCCCGGCGGGAGAGGGCUCUCCGGCCCCGGAGGUUGGCGAGGUAGUGCUGUUCCUUGAACACUUCUUCCGCGGGUUCGAGUUGCCGGCGAGCGACUUCUUCAACAGCUUUCUGGUGCAUUACGGUCUGCAGCCGCAUCACCUUGCGGUGAAUGUUGUGCUGCAGCUGGCUGCUUAUGUUUCCCUCUACAAGGGUUUCUUGGGGAUUGAGCCACGCCUAGAUAUGUGACGCUAGUUCUUCUACUUCAAGCAGAAGUCAGUGUCAGAUAGAACCCCCAAGGGAAAGAAGAUGUCCGACUAUGGCGGAGCCCUUGUUCAUCACCGGACCGCGUCCGGCUUCCCGAAGCUCCCCCUGCAGGACUCGGUAAAGAAGUGGCAGAAGGGGUUCUUCUACGUGAAGAAUGUCGACCCGGAGAAUGACUGCAUCAACUUUCCGCCCUUCGCCAUUGCGCCGCCAACGGCGAAGCUGAACUGGAAAAGCAACCUGCCGAAGGUGGCUGCGAAGGUGAAGCUGAUCAGCACCCUCGUUGACAUUCUCAAGGUGGAGGGCCUCACACUACUCAAUCUCCUGGCCAUCAUGGAGGCACGACGGAUCUUGCCGCUGCAGCGCCGACCGCAUCUAAUAUGUGAGAUGACCGGCCGACAUUACCAAUGCCGACUCUCCACGAAGGAGCUGCGCACCGGCACAGUGGCGGUGCAAGUGAACCUGAUCUCCUCCGCCUUCAUGGAUGAGAGUGUCGCAUGGAUAUGGGGCAAGGCUCCCUAUGAUCGGAAGCACACGACCCCGAAGGUAAGUGAUGUCCCACAAACGUAUGGGAUCGCAGCAGUUUUCGAGGGUCGAGUAUUCAACCCAAAUUUAUUGAUUCACUCACAAGAGGAAGCUAAAGGAUAUUCUCAAGUAUUUGCAGCUGAGUUGUCAAUUCAACCACACCUGAAAGAUUAGUGUCUCCAAGCAAAGUAUCAGUAGCAAGGUAGUAUGAUAGCAACGGCACCAGAAAAAGCUUUGUUGACGGGAUAACAGCGCCAACAAAGUCUUGCAACAAGUAACAGCGGAGUAGCAAGGAAUAGUAGUAGCAGCAACAACAAAGUAACAAGUAACAGCAGUAGUGACAGCAGCAGCAAAGUGGCCCAAUCCCUCUUGUAGCAAGGGACAAGCCUAGGCAAAGUAACGUAGCGAGAACCAGUAGUAAAAGACUCGUAGGCAGUGGAUCGGUGAUGGAUGAGUGUGACGGAUAUGAUUCAUCAUGUAACGGCUAUAACACGGAGAGAUAUGUGGCUAGCUCCCGUUCGUCAAUCUAAUGUAGGCAUGUAUUUCGUAUGUAGUCAUACGUGCUUAGGGAAAAGAACUUGCAUGACAUCUAUUGUCCAUCCUUCCCAUGGCAGUGGGGUCCUAAUGGAAACUACGGGAUAUUAAGGUUCUCCUUUUAAUAAAGAACCGGACCAACGCAUUAACAUGCGGUGAAUACAUGAACUCCUCAUACUAUGGUCAUCUCCGGGAGUGGUUCCGGAUAUUGUCACUCCGGGGUUGCCGAGUCAUAACAUAUAGUAGGUGACUACAACUUGCAAGAUAGGAUCUAAAACACACAUAUAUUGGCGACAACAUAAUAGGUUCAGAUCUGAAAUCAUGGCAAUCGGGCCCUAGUGAUGAGCAUUAAGCAUAGCCAAGUAGUAACAACAUCAAUCUAGAACAUAGUGGAUACUAGGGAUCAAUCCUCGUCAAGAACUACCUCGAUUACAUGAUAGAUCUCAUCGAACUCAUCACCGUCUAGCAAGCCUACGAUGAGAUUACUCACGAACGAUGAAGAGCAUCAUGGAAUUGUCGAUGGAGAAAGGUUGAUGAUGACGAUGGCGACAAUUUCCCCUCUCCGGAGCCCGAAACGGACUCCAGAUCUGCCCUCCAAAUGAAGAACAGGAUGUGGCGGCGCCUCCGUAUCGCAAAACGCGAUGAAACCUUAUCUCUGAUUUUUUCCAGGCGAAACGGAAGAUAUAGAACUAAGAUUGGGGGCGGUGGUGCCACGUGGGCCCCACAAGCCUGCACGGCGCGACCAUAGGGGGUGGCUGCGGCCUGUGGGCUUGUGGCCCACUCGCACGCCCCCUCAGGUGGAUCUUUGCGCACGUAUUUUUCUUUUAUUCCAGAAAAAAUCUCCGUAAAUUUUCAGGACGUUCCGAGAACUUUUAUUUCUGCACAAAAACAACACCAUGGCAAUUCUGCUGAAAACAAUGCCAGUCCGGGUUAGUUCCAUUCAAAUCCUGCAAAUUAGAGUCCAAAACAAGGGCAAAAGAGUUCGGAAAAGUAGAUACGACGGAGACGUUUCAACUCCCCCAAGCUUAAAGCCUUGGUUGUCCUCAAGCAACUCAGUUGACAAACUGAGAGAGACAAAAGAAAAACUUUGACGAACUCUGUUUGUUCUUGUUGUUGCAACUAUGUCUAACUCAUAACCAGAAUUUCAGCAACAUCACAAGCAAACCACAUAAGCAAAUGACAUCUAGGUCUCACGGUAAACUCAUAUCAAUGGCAUAAUCAACUAGAGAGCAAAUAAUAAUAAACCUCAAGUGUCAACACUUCAAUCAAAACAACAUGAAGCAGUACGAAUAGAUGAUAUCUCGCUAGCUCUUUCUGAGACCGCAAAACAUAAAUGCAGAGCACCUUCAAAGACCAAGGGCUGACUAAACAUUGUAAUUCAUGGCAAUGAAGAUCCAGUCAUAGUCAUACUCAACAUAGUUAAAAGCAAAGCAUAAAAAUGAUAGAGGUGCUCUCUAAUUGGUGCUUUUGUAAGAGGAGGAUGACUCAACGGGAACAUAAAUAGACAGGCCCUUCGCAGAGGGAAGCAUUGAUUUGCAGAGGUGCCAGAGCUCAAGCUUUGAAAACAGAGAUAAUAAUUUUGGGUGGCAUGCUUUCAUUGUCAACGCAAUGACUAAGAGUUCUCAACAUCUUCCACGCUACACAUGCUAUAGGCGGUUCCCAAACAGAAAAGUAAAGUUUUGACUCCCCCACCACCAAUCAAUCACACUCCACGGUUAGCCGAAUCCUCGGGUACCGUCCAUACCAACAUCAAUCCUGGGGGAGUUUUGUUUGCAAUUAUCUUUUCGAUUUGAGUAUGGAACUGGGAAUUCCAAUUACCGGCCCCUUUCUCGUGAAUGAUAGUGAAUAAACACAUAUUGAGGAUAACACGCCUAGCAUGGAAGAUACCAGUGGCCCCUGUCACCACAUGAGUGGUUCAGGCAUGCAAAACAGAUUAUUUCUUGAAGGUUUAGAGAGUGACACAUGCAAAUUUACUUGGAACGGCAGGUAGAUACCGCACAUAGGUAGGUAUGGUGUACUCACAUGGAACAACUUUGGGUUUAUGGAAGUGAAUGCACAAGCAGUAUUCCCGCUUAGUACAAGUGAAGGCUAGCAAAAGAUUGGGAAGUGACCCACUAGAGAGCGACAACAGUCAUCAAAAUGCAUUGAGAGUAACUAACAUUGAGUGCAAGCAUGAGUAGGACAUAAAUCACCAUGAACAUGAACAUCAUAGAGGCUAUGUUGAUUUCGUUUCAACUACAUGCGUGAACAUGCGCCAAGUCAAGCCACUUGAAUCAUUCAAAGGAGGAUACCAUCCUAUCAUACUACAUCAUAGUCAUCUCAACAUUCAUCUGGGCAACCAAGACAAACCAUUAUAAGCUCCUAGCUAAGUAAGUAUGGCAUAAACAACUAUGAUCUCUAAGUUGUCAUUGCAAACAUGUUUCUCUCACAACAAAGCUGAAUCAGGCAUGAUGAGCUAGUAAUAUUUACAAAAACAAAAUAGAUCGAGUUCAUACCAGCUUUUAUAGGCUCACUCACUUCAUCAUAUAUCGUCAUUAUUGCCUUUCACUUGCAUGACCGAACGAUGUGAACAAUAAUAAGAGUGCUCGUGCGUUGGACUAAAGCUGGAAUCUGCAAGCAAACACAAAGGAGAAGACAAAGUAAUAUGGCUCUUUGAAAGCUAAACAGGUAUGCAUCUAAGAGCCACUAAAUAGUGUAACCAAUAUCUUCUACCUUGACCCAAAGAAAAAGAAAACUAUCUACACGGGAAAGCUCCCAACAAGCAAAAGAAGAAAAAGAAAAUCUUUUUGGUUUUUCUCAAACUAGACAGACACACGAAAAGAAAAUGAGAAAAAGAAAAUAAACUAGCAUGGAUGAUACAGUGGCAAAGUGUGAACACUGGCUAACAAAGUGAAAGCAUAAGCAAGAAUGUAAAGUCGGUGAGAACACGUACUCCCCCGAGCUUAGGCUUUUGGCCUAACUUGGUCUACUCACAAGGAGGGAAAGAACCAGCUCCGGGGUACUCCGGAGUGGACUGGGGAUGCCACUGUUGUGUGAGCUCCUGUGGCUCCCACUGAUAAACUGGCGUCUGGUACUCGACUGGCGGCUUGGGCACGGGCACCUAUGGUUGGGCUAAGCCCCAAUAUGCGUAGAUGUACGAGGGCAUAAUAGUGUACCUGCCUGCAUGAAGAUUGAACAAAGAAGGAGCAGGCAAAGUAAUAGUCUCACGAGUACCCUCACUAAAUGUCAUGUUAUAAAUCAUCCUUCCACCUAUAUCUCUAUCAAGAAAGUCAUGGCGAACCAUGCUAUCGUAAUCUAGAUAUCUCUCGGGAAGAAGAAUCUCUUCUUCCUCCUCCAGUCUAAUAGGUAUCUCAAAGUGUCUAGCAAGGCAAGUAGCGUAGAUACCUCCAUAGACAACACCUUUAGAACGGUUCAGGUUCAACCGUUGAGCUACUAUAGCACCUAAGCUAUAAGUUUUAUCGUUAUAAAGGGCUUCGUGCAAGACCGUAAGAUCUGGGGAACUAAGUGACCCAGCUUUCCCACGGCCAAUCAAACAUUUUCCCACAAAUAGUGAGAAGUACCGAAGCACGGGAAAAUGUAUGCUAGCAGCUCUAGCGCAAGACACUCCUCUCUCCUCUCCUACAGCAAUUGUACCAAUGAAAGCUUCCAAGUCCCGUGGACGAGGUUCAUGAAUAUCCCCAACAAAAGGAAUUUGCAAACAUUGCAAAUAUCCUGGAGUGACAUGCGCUGGGGGAUAUCAUAAAGUUUGAACUCAACCAUAGGAGGAUUCUUCCUCGGAUAGAAGUUAAAGCUUUGUACGAAGAUAUUAGUGACGAGGAGGUAUUGCGGACACGUAUCUUCAACGAAGGCGGUAAGGCCUGCGUUCUGCACCAAGUGAUAGAAGUCCUCAUAUAUUCCAGCGGCGCGUAAGAACACGUCGCUUGGCCACUCGCACGCUCGAACUUCUGCGACUCGAGGGACCAAAUACUUGGGCUUCUUCUCACUCCCAUCAUCCUUGGGGUCACGGCUUAACGAGCCUCUUAAGAACCUCCUCAUCUUUCCCUUUUCUAUCUCUGAAAAUUUCUGAAAUUUUUAGUGAUUCUAAGGAAAAGUGAAUAAGGCUCAACGAAACUUGUAGCAACUACUCCAACAAGUGCCUAGAGACCAUAUUACGCAUCAAAACUACUUGGGACCAGCUAGAAUCAGCAUGCAAAGCUCAAGAACAUGGUCACCAAGGCAGCAAAAAUACGCGGCGUAUAAGGCACUAGAGCAAAAACUAAUUGGACCAAUGGAGGAGUCACUUACCAAGGAGUAAUUUCCGCAAAACAGUUCGGAGAACGGUGAUUUGAGCAAAGAGAUCGAAAAUCCGAGUAAGAGGAGCAAGAACACGGGUUUGAGCUACGAAACGAUUUUUUUGGAGGUAGGAGAAGCGGAUGAGAGCAAGAAUGAGUGGUGGGGUGCAUGUGGGCCCCACAAGCCUGGGUGGCGCGGCCAGGGGGGUACCCGCAACCCAAGGGCUUGUGGCCCACUGGUACAGCCCCCACACAAGCUCUUUGUCCCAGUAUUUUUUGCAAAAUCCAGAAAAAAUCAUACUUGAUUUUCAGGGCGUUCGGAGAACUUUGAUUUUCGGGGUACUUUUCUACCGGACGCUAAAACAGAAAACAGGGAAAACUAAACUAAAUCUAUCAUUUUUCUUCUAAGCAACCUAAAGUGAAAGCUUGGAACAAAGGUUUGUGACUCCUCGAUUCAUCCAUCUCAUGGUCAUCGAAAGAAAUCCGUCAAUGGUGUUGAUCAAAUCCCCUCGAAAAACUUUCUCGAAUCGCAAAAGAAGACGGAGAAUUUCCGAAUAGUCACUAGGUCACCUCAAUGGGGAUGUGAAUUUCCCCAACAAGCAAAUCAUACUUCAUCUUGACACGAGGAAUAGGGCAUUCAAAGCUCUCAAUAAGAAUCGAUGAAGUCUUUUCGAUAGCAUUGAUGCAAUGUACUCGAUAUUGUUUCUUCGGAAAGUGCACCGUAUGCUCAUUACCAUUGACAUGGAAAGUGACAUUGCCUUUGUUGCAAUCUAUAACAGCCCGUGCGGUGUUCAAAAAGGGUCUUCCGAGGAUGACAACCAUGGCAUCGUCCUCAGGAAUAUCCAAGAUAACAAAGUCUGUUAAGAUAGUGGUGUUAGCAACCACAACAGGCACAUCCUCGCAAAUGCCGAUAGGAAAAGCAGUUGAUUUGUCGGCCAUUUGCAGAGAGAUUUCAGUGGGUGUCAACUUAUCCAGUUCAAGUCUACGAUAAAGAGAGAGAGGCAUAACACUAACACCGGCUCCAAGGUCGCACAACGCAGUUCUAACGUAGUUGCCUUUAAUGGAGCAAGGUAUAGUGCGCACACCGGGAUUACCUAGUUUCUUCGGAGUUCCACCCUUGAAAGUGUAAUUGGCAAGCAUGGCGGAGAUCUCAAGAUCAGGUAUCCUCCUCUUAUUACUCACAAUAUUUUCAUGUACUUAGCAUACAGAGACAUCUUGAGCAUAGCAGUCAAACGCAUCUACAGAAAGACAGGUCUGAUCAUUUCAACGAAGCACUCAAAAUCCUCAUCAUCCUUUUUCUUGGAUGGUUUGGGAGGAAAGGGCAUAGGUUUCUGAACCCAUGGUUCCCUUUCUUUACCAUGCUUCCUAGCAGCGAAGUCAUUCUUAUCGUAUCUUUUAGUCUUUGGGUGUGGGUUAUCAAGAUCAGGUUCAAUCUCCACAUCAUUUUCAUUGCUAGGUGGAGCAUCAUCAUGAACAUCACUAUUGACAUUAUCAUUAGGCUCAUGUUCAUCAUCGGAUUGUCUUUCAGCAUCAGAGACAGAGGCGUCGUUUGGACUCUCAGGUGUAGCAGCAACAGGGUUGCUAGUGUGCAGGUUCCUAUCAUCUUUCUUCUUCUUUCUAGGAUGACUAGGUGCAUCAGUGCUAACUCCUUGAGAAUCUUGUUCAAUUCUCUUCGGAUGACCCUCAGGAUACAUAGGUUCCUCGGUCGUUCUACCGCCUCUAGUGACGACUCUGACGAAAUUGUCAUUCAACUCAUUGAGCAAGUCAUUUUGAACUUUAAGUACUUGUUCUACCUGAGUAGUAACCAUAGAGGCAUGUUUACUCAGAAGUUUAAGAUCGUUGAUAUUUCUGUCCACACAAGCACUUAAAUGACUAAGCAUACGAGCAUUCUUUUCCAAUUGUCUGCUAACAUAAUCAUUGAAACUUUGUUGUUUGGCAACGAAGUUAUCAAAUUCAUCCAUGCAUAAGCUAGCAGGUUUAUCAAAAGGAAUAUCACUCUCAUCAAACCUACGCAGAGAAUUUACUUCUACUACCUGUAUCGGGUUAUCGAGACCAUGGAUCUCUUCGAUAGGUGGUAGGUUUUUGACAUCUUCAGAUUUAAUGCCUUUCUCUCGCAUAGAUUUCUUGGCUUCUUGCAUAUCUUCAGGACUGAGGAAUAGAAUACCUCUUUUCUUCGGAGUUGGCUUAGGAGGUGAUUCGGGAAUAGUCCAAGCAUUCUCAUUGCACAAGAUGUUGUUCAACAGAAUCUCAGCUUGUUCUACAGUUCGCUCCCUAAAAACACUACCGGCACAACUAUCUAGGUGGUCUUUGGAAGCAUCGGUAAGUCCAUUAUAGAAGAUAUCAAGUAUUUCAUUCUUCUCAAGAGGGUGAUUAGGCAAAGCAUUCAGUAGCUGGAUAAGCCUCCCCAAGCUUGUGGGAGACUCUCUUCUUCAGCUUGAGUAAAGUUGUAUAUUUCCUGCAAGGCAGCUUGCUUCUUAUGGCCAGGGAAAUAUUUUUCAGAGAAGUAGUAGACCAUAUCCUGGAGGGCUACGCACACAACCAGGAGCAAGAGAAGUGAACGAGGUCUUAGCAUCAUCCUUUAGCGAGAAAGGAAACAACUUGAGCAUAUAGUAGUGGCGGAUCUUUUCCUCACUAGUGAAUAGGGUGGCUAUAUCAUGCAGUUUGGUAAGAUGGGCUACAACCGUUUCAGACUCAUAACCGUGAAAAGGAUCAGAUUCGACCAGAGUGAUUAACUCAGGGUCGACAGAGAAUUCAUAAUCCUUAUCGGUCACAAAGAUAGGUGAAGUGGAAAACUUCGGGUCGUAUUUCAUCCUAGCGUUCAGAGAUUUUUCUUUCCACUUGCGCAGAAGUUUCUCAACAUCAUAACUAUCCUUACACGCAUGAAAAUCCUCAGCUAUCUCUCCCUCCAUAACAUAGCGCGUAUCAGGCAUAACAGGCAAUUCAGGCAUAGUAGCAGGUUCUACUUCAAUAGUAUCAGCAGUUUCAGAAGUAUCAUCACAUCUAGCAGCAACUCUAGCAAUAUGUGCAUCAAGGAAUGCACCAAGUGGCAAAGCAGUAUCAGGCAUAGUAUCAUCAGGCAUAGUAUCAAGCAUGGCAUCAUCAGGCAUAGUAUCAAGCAUAGCAUCAUCAGGCAUAGUAUCAAGCAUAGCAUCAUCAGGCAUAGUAUCAAACAUAGCAUCAUUAAGCAUAGCAUCAUCAUAAGCAUCAUGGGAAGCAGAAGUAGCAUCAUCUAGCACAGGCGACAUAUCAAGAUUUCUAGCAGGAGGUGGUGUCGCAAACUUACUCAUAACUGAAUGUGAAUCAAGUGCAGAGCUAGAUGGCAAUUCAUUACCUCUCCUCGUAGUGGAAGGCAGGAUAUUAGUUCUGGGAUCUUUCGGAUUCCUCAUAGUGAUCAGCAGACAUCAAUCCCAAGUGACUCAGAUAAUAUAGUUGUGCCUCCCCGGCAACGGCGCCAGAAAAAGCCUUGAUGUCCCACAAGCGUAUGGGAUCGCAGUAGUUUUCGAGGGUAGAGUAUUCAACCAAAAUUUGUUGAUUCGCCAAGAUGGGAAGCGAAAGAAUAUUCUCAAGUAUUAGCAGUUGAAUGUGUCAGAUUCAACCACACCUGAAAGAUUAGUGUCUGCAAGCAAAGUAUCAGUAGCAAGGUAGUAUGAUAGCAACGGUGCCAGGAAAAGCCUUGCUGACGGGAUGUUAGUGUUGAUUACCUAGCCCGGCAAUGGCGCCAACAAUGUCUUGCAACAAGUAACAGCGGAGUAGUAAGGAACAGUAGUAGCAGCAGCAGCAAAGUAACAAGUAACAUCAGUAGUGACAGCAGCAGCAAAGUGGCCCAAUCCCUUUGGUAGCAAGGGACAGGCCUAGGCAAAGUAACGUCGCGAGAACCAGUAGUAAAAGACUCGUAGGCAGUGGAUCGGUGAUGGAUGAGUAUGACAGAUGUGAUUCAUCAUGUAACAGCUAUAACACGGAGAGAUAUUGACUAGCUCCCGUUCAUCAAUCUAAUGUAGGCAUGUAUUUUGUAUGUAGUCAUACGUGCUGAGGGAAAAGAACUUGCAUGACAUCUAUUGUCCAUCCCUCCCGUGGCAACGGGGUCCUAAUGGAAACUACGGGAUAUUAAGGUUCUCCUUUUAAUAAAGAACCAGACCAACGCAUUAACACGCGGUGAAUACAUGAACUCCUCAUACUAUGGUCAUCUCCGGGAGUGGUUCCGGCUAUUGUCACUCCGGGUUUGCCGGGUCAUAACACAUAGUAGGUGACUACAACUUGCAAGAUAGGAUCUAAAACACAAAUAUAUUGGCGACAACAUAAUAGGUUUAGAUCUGAAAUCAUGGCACUCGGGCCCUAGUGACAAGCAUUAAGCAUAGCCAAGUAGUAGCAACAUCAAUCUAGAACAUAGUGGAUACUAGGGAUCAAUCCCCAUCAAGAACUAACUCGAUUACAUGAUAGAUCUCAUCCAACUCAUCAUCGUCCAUCAAGCCUACGAUGAGAUUACUCACGAACGAUGAAGAGCAUCAUGGAAUUGUCGAUGGAGAAAGGUUGAUGAUGACGAUGGCGACGAUUUCCCCUCUCCGGAGCCCGAAACGGACUCCAGAUCUGCCCUCCAGAUGAAGAACAGGAUGUGGCGGCGCCUCCGUAUCGCAAAACGCGAUGAAACCUUCUCUUUGAUUUUUUUCCAGGCGAAACGGAAGAUAUAGAGCUGAGUUUGGGGGUCGUGGUGCCACGUGGGCCCCACAAGCCUGCACGGCGCGGCCAGGGGGGUGGCCGCGGCCUGUGGGCUUGUGGCCCACUGGCACGCCCCCUCAGGUGGAUCUUUGCACAGGUAUUUUUCUUUUAUUCCAAAAAAAAUCUCCGUAAAUUUUCAGGACAUUCCGAGAACUUUUAUUUCUGCACAAAAACAACACCAUGGCAAUUCUGCUGAAAACAGCGUUACUCCGGGUUAGUUCCAUUCAAAUCAUGCAAAUUAGAGUCCAAAACAAGGGAAAAGAGUUCGGAAAAGUAGAUACGACGGAGACGUAUCAGCGGGGAGCUCCCGCCUGGACGCGUGGCGUGCGUCGGCGGCACGAGCCAGAGCGUACAUGGCGCUUUGCCUCGCCAAGUCAUGGUAUUAUGACCUUGACUUGGGCCUGCUCACGGUGCAACGCGAGGGCUCGGAGAAGAAUCUGGCCGCCGUCGAGGACGAGCUGCAAGUGCGAGCCAGCGACAUCGCUUUGUUCACUGCAUGGAACGACUACACCAUGGAGCAGAGGGCUGGAGGAGCUCUGAUCCCGGCGGGCCGCUACCGGCUAGCCCUCAGCGACCCUGACGGCAGUUCCGAUGAGACUGGCCUUGAGGACGCUGACUCCGCCGUGGGGGCGGUUCGACUGUGAAGGGAGGUUCUGGAGACCCCCAGGCGGAUGACGGGGCGUCCACCUCAACUGCCCCGGGCGAUGCCGGAGCCAAGGGUGGAGCCGCCACCGGCUCAAACUUUUUCUUUUUUCCUGCGUUUUCGGUUAGUUCUGCAGUUCCACCCACUAGGGGUGUAAUAUAAUGAAUCUUGGUCGUGGGCCUUCGUAUAUUUUGUGUAAUAUAUGCUUGCUUGCUUAAAAUCGUGCCUGAAAAGGUUGUGCUUAUCGACUCGCUUUUUAGUCUUUUAUUCCCUUGGCUUCUGUCUACCCCAAAGCUUUGCCCCUUUCUAGCUUCCGCCCCGCCAGUCCGACAGCCGGGAGCCGGUCUGUGACUGGGACGGGGCUUCUGCCUUCCAGAGUGUCCGCCUUAGGUUUCUUGAAGACGCGAGGAUAUCAAGACUUAGAACGAGUCGACAGAGGCCGGCUAACAAAGAAAGAAGUAUCGGAGACGAUCAGACCAGCCCGAGCCGGCGACACCUUUGUAGCCGAACCUAUUGCGCAGCUAGCCUUCCUUCCCAGAGACCCGCUAGCCGAACAGCCGGGAGCCGGUAUGUAGCUUGCGCGGGGAGGUAAGGGUUUUGGCUCAAUGUGCUCUAUGUGUUCGGCUGCGGAAAGGAUAUUAGCUCGGGCCGGCCAGCGAGCCCCCGGGUCCGAGGAGUCGGACCAAGAGACUUGCUCUUGAAACAACAUCGUUUUGAGGAAUCGAAAAAGGCAUGCCCCAAGCGGCGGCUUGAGACAUCCAUUGCAUUCAUUAUAGCCCGAAAGGGUAAAGGAUACAUAAGUACACAUUUUUGGUUUCUCUUGUUCUAACUGUAGAACGGGCGAAGUAGUGUCGUGUUCCAAGGGCGCUCCGUUUCCUCACCGGAGGCAUCUCUCUUGCGCUUCUGCGGCUUCUAGGCGUCUAUUAGAUAGUACGUGUUGUUGUGCAGCGCCUUGCUAAUGAUGAAGGGUCCCUCCCAUGAGAAGGAAAGCUUGUGCUGGCUGGCCGUUCGCUGGAUUCUUUUGAGCACCAGGUCCCCCUCGCGAAAGGAGAGGGGCCUAAUCCUUUUGUUGUGGUAGUGCCUUAGCUUCUGCUGGUAGAUGGCCGACCGGCUCAGGGCCAGUUCCCGUGCCUCCUCAAGUAGAUUGACGCCAUCUUCUCUUGCCUCCUUUGCAUCCGCCUCCGUGUACAGGGUUACGUGAGGCGAGUCGAACUCGAUAACCGUGGGGAUGACCACCUCGGACCCAUAGAGGAGGAAGAAUGGUGCGAAGCCGGUUGACCGGUUCCGCAUGGUGCGGAGGCUCCACAACACACCUGGCAGCUCUUCGAUCCAGCAGUCGGCUGACCUGACGAGCGGUGCCACGAGUCUUGGCUUGAUGCCUGCUAAAAUCAGGUUGUUUGCCCUCUCCUCCUGGUCGUUCGACUACGGGUGAGCAACCGAUGCCAUGUCGAGCUGGAUGCCCUCUUUGGCACAGAAGAGCACCAUUGCACCUUUGACGAAGUUGGUGCCGUUGUCGGUGAUGAUGCUUUGGGGGACGCCAUAACGGACCGGAAUGUCCUUGAUGAACCUGACGGCCGUGGGACCGUCAAGCUUCUUGAUUGGCCUGGCUUCAAUCCAGUCGGUGAACUUGUCGACGGCUACCAAGAGAUGUGUCAUGCCGCCACAAGCGGUCUUGAAUGGCCCCUCCAUGUCGAGCCUCCACACGGCGAAAGGCCAUGUGAGGGGGAUGGUCUUCAACGUCGUAGCGAGCAAGUGACUUUGCGUGCUGAAGCGUUGGCAGCCUUCACACUUGUCGACCAAAGACGUGGCCUCCUUCAGGGCUGUGGGCCAGUAGAAUCCGUGGCGAAACGCCUUGGCCACCAGGGUUCUAGAGGCGGCAUGAUGCCCACACUCGCCCUGAUGUAUGUCUCUAAGAAUCUCCUACCCUUUCUCUGACUCGACGCAACGUUGGAAUACGUAGGUUGCACUGCGUCGAAUCAUCUCGUGGUUGAUGAUGGCGUAGGCGGGAGACCGGCGCUGAAUCUGUCGCGCCUCGGCCUCAUAAGGUGGUAGCUCACCACGCAGGAGGAAAGCCAGGAUGGGCUGAGCCCAUGCUGGAGCCGUCACGGCACUCGGUUCUGGCUCGACUUGAGGACCAUGAGGAGCCAUAGCCCCAGGUAUGUCGUUAUAGCCCUCGAGAUAGAACCGUUUGACUCUGGGAUCGGCUCGAUAGCCGACGUGUCGUCAACCUCCAUGAUGGACACCGACUUGGAGUUGGGCUAGCUUUGCUCGAAGUUUGUCGCAUCCGGCGACGUUAGUGGAGCCGGCAGGGCAGUUGGAGCCGGCAAAGUGGGCAGAGCCGGCGGAGUUGUUGGAGCCGGCUGAGCCUCCGAACCUGGAGUUGUCGGGCCGGAGGGGUCGCUAGUACGAAGAUCAAGGUCGACACUGGAGACGACUUGAUGGAUGGCUUGAAGAGGUUCUCAAGGGAGACGCCGGCCGAGCUUGCUUGCUUGGUGGACCAAUUUUUGCCAAUGUAUCCGCCGCCUCAUUGUCCGCUCGGGGGACAUGAUGGAAUUCGCAACCCUCGAAAGGGCCGCUGAGCUGCUGGAUGAGGAAGCGGUAGCUGGCCAUGUUGGCAUACCUAGUGUCCCAUUCGUCAGAGACCUGCCGCACCACAAGGUCGGAGUCGCUGAAGCAGAUAAUCCUCCGGAUGCCAAUCUCUUUGGCAAGCCGGAGGCCGUGUGCGAGCGCUUCAUACUCGGUGACGUUAUUGGAGGCGGCGAAGUGGAUCUGGAGAGCAUAUUUGAGAUGGUCCCUUUCGGGGACGAUACGACGAUGCCGGCUCCCAGCUCGGUUCGCAUCUUGGAGCCGUCGAAGUGCAUCCGCCAGUGUGUGGAGUCGGGAGGUGGUGGCAAAAACUGGGUCUCGGCCCAAUCGACGAGGAAGUCGGACAUCACCUGGGACUUGAUGGCAGUACGCGGCUCGUAGUGGAUGUCGUGGUCCGCCAUCGCAAUGGACCACUUGGCAAUCUGGCCGGUGGCGUCACGGUUGCCCAUGAUUUCUGAAAGUGGAGCCUUGCUCACCACCGUGAUGGUGUGCUCCUGGAAGUAAUGCUCCAACUUCUUGGUGGCAAAGUACACGCCAUAGCACAUCUUUUGAUAGUGGGGGUAGUUCUGCUUGGAAGCGGAGAGGACCUCGCUCACGUAGUAGGCAGGGCGCUGAACUGGCAGCAUCCUACCCUCCUCCGGUCGCUCCACCACCAAGACGACACUGACCUCGCGCAUAGUGUGACAGCCCGAGACCGACGCCCUAGAAGAUUCCCCCCUUUAUUCCGUUUCCGUCGUGCGGCUAUUUUAUUGUUUUGGCUGCAUCAUCAUUUAGUUUGCAUCGUNNNNNNNNNNNNNNNNNNNNNNNNNNNNNNNNNNNNNNNNNNNNNNNNNNNNNNNNNNNNNNNNNNNNNNNNNNNNNNNNNNNNNNNNNNNNNNNNNNNNNNNNNNNNNNNNNNNNNNNNNNNNNNNNNNNNNNNNNNNNNNNNNNNNNNNNNNNNNNNNNNNNNNNNNNNNNNNNNNNNNNNNNNNNNNNNNNNNNNNNNNNNNNNNNNNNNNNNNNNNNNNNNNNNNNNNNNNNNNNNNNNNNNNNNNNNNNNNNNNNNNNNNNNNNNNNNNNNNNNNNNNNNNNNNNCGAGAUAUCUUGUGUAUCAGGUUUCCGGUGAAGCUUUGGGUAAUCUCAGAGUUGAGGUUUUCCACUAGGGAAUCCGACGAGAUCGCGAGCUUCGUGAUUGAGGAUUUCUAUGCGGCUUGUGAUAAUUUGUGAUGGACUAGUUGGAGCACCCCUGCAGGGUUAAAUCUUUUCGGAAAGCCAUGCCCGCGGUUAUGUGGCAACAUGGAAACUUUGUUUAACACUGGUUCUAGACAACUUGAAGUUAACUUAAUUAAAAUAUGCCAACUGUGUGCGUAACCGUGACUGUCUCUUUCGUGAGUUCUUACUCCUAUCGAGGACACGGUGGGGUUAUGUCUGACGUAGGCAGGUGUUCAGGAUCAUUCAUUUGAUCAACAGUAGUUCACGUCCGUUAUGCGUAGAUCUUCCCCCUCUUAUUUCUUGUACUCAUAAGUUUAGCCACCCAAAAAUAUGCUUAGCCGCUGCUGCAACCUCACCACUUAACCAUACCUCACCCAUUAAGCUUUGCUAGUCUUGAUACCUUUGGAAAUGAGAUUGCUGAGUCCUCUGUGGCUCACAGAUUACUACAACACCAGUUGCAGGUACAGGUAAAGGUUAUUUGACGCGAGCGCGUUGAUUGUUCAUUUGGAGUUGCUUCUUCUUCUUCUUCUUCAUCGAUCUAGGAGGGGUUCUAGGUCGGUAGUCUGGGAUAGCAAGGAUGGGCGUCGUUCUUCUUUUCUCGUUUGUUUUCGUCCGUAGUUGGACCCUGCUCUUACCCUUGAUGUUUAUGUAAUGUACUAAUGUGACUCUGAUGUAGCUUGUGGCGAGUGUAAGCCAAUUCUGUUAUAUAUCUCUUCUUUUCAGUACAUGUACUUGUAACCAUAUCCAUUCUUGCGACAUGACGAAUUGCGCUUCUAUCCCUGACGAGGCCCUCGCGCCAAAUUGAGGAUAGGGUCGCAUCAUGGGUGUGACAAGUUGGUAUCAUAGCAGUACCGACCUAGGAGCGCCCUUGAUUGAUCGAACUUGGCCGAGUCAAGUCUAGUGAAAAAAUACUUUGAGUCUAGUUAUAUAUCGGAGAGUAGGAUUCUUUUUUCUCCUCUUCUAUGCUUUGGUGAGGAAUCUUGACGUAAUAUUUUAAUUCUACUCUUCUUCUCACUCAAAUUUUUUUAGGAUCACGCGGAUAUUUUUGAGAUCUAUAUGAUGCCGAUGUGACGGAGUUCUGUCUUGGUGCCUCCUAUCUGCUUUGAGUUUCAGGGGAAUUGAGCUCCAGGGGAUUCUUGAGCACAUCGUUAUCAUUCAGAUUUCUUAGUAUCUCAGAACAAAGGAUGUUCGUAAUUGCUUCAAUACUAGUAGUGGCGAGAUAACCCCGAUGUCCCCAGUACUGGUGCAGAUUGUUCGGGAGUACUGCCAUACUUUGUAUCGUUGUGAUCACGAGGGUCUGUUGUAGAUGAAGGUCCGAGAUUCUGGUUGUGUGUUGACGGAUGUGAUACAAGUGACGGGUUAGUAUAGGAGUUGUGUGAUUAUUACUCCUUGUAUCCGUGUACCAGAUUGCAUGACCAGAUAUUUCGGGAAUUCAUAGGUGGGAAUUCAAGUAGUUGCUUAUAGGACAAUCUUUCAACAAAUGCAUGAUGUUAGGUUGGGGUUCGACAUCUAGUGGAUUCCUGUCCACGAAAAUAUCGGACGAAAUCUUUCUCAUGAGUUUGUUCUGGCUUGUUUCAUAAGCCUCAUCCCUUUGUUUUGUUGAAUGUGGUAAUUUGUGUUGCUUUGAUGUCAAGUGGUGAUUUCAGAUCUUUUCUAAGAGGUGUUCUCAUAUUUUUAUGAGAGUAUUAAUUCUUUUGCUCUAUCAAUUGUCUUAUCAAUUCCUUUCAACCGGGGUCAUCGUAUCAAUUCCAUUCAACCGAUGUGUUUCUCUUCAAGUAAUUCUAUCCUCUCCAAUUUUGCAAGAUCAUUCUCUCAAUUCUUACCGGAGUUUGUCUCAUCUGUCCCAAGUUGUCUUUGUUUUUCCCCACCCUCCCGCCCUUUUUCUCAGUGAUUCAAUUUUCAUCCAAGAGUUUUCUUUUCAUGGUGCUUCCGCUGUCUGUUCUUUUCUCUCUUACCCGGUGAUUCAUUGUGAAGAUUCUCAGGAGCUUCAUGUUCAUCCUUAUUCAGUCUUGUUAUAUUUCCGGUGAAUUCAAUUUAGUUGUCCGUGUCAUCAUAUCCUUUUCGUCCUUGUAAUUCUUUCCUAUGUUGGAGAUUCUUAUCGACCUAUGUUGUUAUCAUUUCUCUCUUUUCUGUCCGGAGUGGUGAAGACAUCUCUGAGUUUCGUGUUUUCAACUCUUUUAAUUAUUUCGAGGUGCUCAACCUCAUCUACUUCUCUUCACACUGGUGCAAUAUCUCUCUUCUAAGCAAUCUUUUCAUGGUGGUUUCUUUGAGUGGGCCCAUAACCCACAGGUUCCUUCCCAGGAUCUUAUCUGGCUCUUUUAAUCUUUUCUCGGAGAUCAUUAACUUUUUUCAGCUAUGAGGUAAGUAUGAAUUUCAUCAGUCUUAUUCUUUCUUCAAGAUCCAUUUAUAUUAAUUCUCAUAUUUGGCUCAACCUUUCAUUCUUCAUUAUUCCGGAGUGUCUCAGUUAUUCUUGGUGGUGUUCUCCUCUUCUUUCUCAGCUUGCAGAUUCAAAGGAGUGUUUCUCUCAGUCUUGUUCCAUUCUUGUGAAGACUGUCAUCUCAGCUCCGUGUAUGCUCUCAUUUGUUCCAAUCAUGAGUAAUCCAUUUCUCGCUAUCCGGUGCUUCUUUGAGUUGUUUUUAUUUAUCGAUCCUCCGAAGGCCAUCAUUGUAGAAGAUUCUUCGUUCUCAGCUUUCAGCUUUCAUCCUUGAUUCUUCUUAAUUGUUGUCUCUUCGUUCGUCUCUCGUUUAUUCUGGUGCCUUGUUCUAGUUUUUCUCUCAGGUGGCUCAUGAUCUCUUCGUUCUCAUGUUUCUCCAUUGAUUCUUGGUUUUCCAUUCAACUGUGAAUUCUUACCGGUUCUUCCUUCAAUUAUGCCUCAAGUGGUGUUUAUCUCUCUGUCUCUUCAAGAUUCUUUCAAGAAGAAUAAGUUGUAUGCUAAAUCCGUUGCUUGUCAUCAAUUUAAUUUGGUGAAGGAUAAGCAUAACAUAAUUCUUAUUCUUGUUUCAUCAAAUGAUUUCAAUUAUUCUUCCAGAGUGGCUCAUGAUAUCAAUUCCUUUUUCUCAACUGUUAUUAUCUUUUCUUUUCCGAAGUUCCAAGUUUUCUCAAGAAUCUCUUUGCGAGGCUUCAUCUAAAUCUUGGCAAGGUCAAAAUCUUAUUCUUUUCUACCUUCGUAUCGUUGCGUCAUUCAUUUGUAUACGGAGGUCCUUCAUGGUGGUUCAUCCAGGUUUCAAUUCAUUCUCAAGUGUUCCUCAAGAUUCUGUUGGAGUACCUCAAGUAUCCUUUCUCUUGCAUUUAUAUGUGCAAUUGUUCUUGCUUAUCCUUUGAGGUGGUAUUAUAGCAUUCUUGUUAGUGUAGGACCCUCGAAGAGAUUUCCUUUCAACAAUGAGAUAAUUAAACCCACCAAUUCUUUGAUCAUGAGAUAUUUUUCAACCUAUGAUUUCUUCGUUGAGCUAUCUUGGUUUAGACUACACCUAAAGAUUUUCCUAUGGAUUGUGCUAUCAUGGUUCUUGUCAUUUACCCAAGUUCUCAAUGCACCCUCGGUGUAAGAAGUUUUGAUAUCUUUGCUUUCAUCUAUCCUUCUUUCUUUUAGUGGUUGGUUGUCACCUCAUAUAUGUUGAGAUGAUCUUCAUAAGCCCACUACUAUCUUGUUCUUUUCAUUGUUGGUUUUCCAACUACUAUGCCAAUUCUCUGUCCGGAGGCUCUUCAACUCUAUUGUGAUGAUAGUUGUCAUUAUUUUCUUCAUUCUCUUCUUCUGUUUGAGCUAGUUCCUAUUCUAUCGUUCCGGAGGCUUUGUGAUAUUGCUCUUUUGGGUCAAUCUUGUUGUUCUAUCAAGAUCAUGGUGUUCCCUUACUCUACUUAGUUGUUUGUUGUGCAUAUUGUUUAAUUCUCUCUUCUUAUCGAAUUUUUUGUCCCAUUUUCCUACCGAAGUGCUGCCGAAAUUUUUCCGUGAAUUCUUGCUUCUUUCUCAUAUCAUUCCUCAUCUCUUUGCAACCUUCAAGGAUCAUUGGUUUCACUCGUUUGUCAAAGAAGUGACUAAAUUUUUAUCUCUUGUUCUUUCUCAGCCUCUCCCCCCUUUCAUUCUUGGAUCUCGAGCGAGAUCCUCUUGUAGUGUAGGAGAGUUGUGACAGCCCGAGACCGACGCCCCAGAAGAUUCCCCCCUUUAUUCCGUUUCCGUCGUGCGGCUAUUUUAUUUUGUUGGUUGCAUCGUCAUUUAGUUUGCAUCGUNAUUCGUUUAAAAUGCCCAGCUAUUUCUUGUAGUUGGGAAUAUUUUAUUUUUUCAAAGGAUUCAAAAGCAUUUAUUAUAUUUUAUUUUUUGUUAAAAGCCUUUCUUUAUUUUAAGAUUUCUGUUUUAAAGGGAUUUAAAAAUAGGGAUAUUUAAAUUAGUGCCCCUGGUUCCUUAGUUGUGGUCACUUUUCCCCACGAUGUAAACGUUUGCUCACUUUUCCCCUCUUCCUUAGCUGAAACUCUCACAAAUGCUCAUAGCGGCCGUUUGUUGUCUUGACUGUCCAUUGACCGUUAAUUGCUGACGAGUGGGGUCGAGUCUUCGGCUGACUGUUGCUUGCUGACAGGUGGGACCGCAAGGAGACACGUAUUGGGCAGCUUGUCUGAAUCUGAAACAUAUGUAGACAGGCUGCACUACACCGCGCCGCCCCGCCUCCUUCACCGGCGUCGUGCCGCGUCCACCGCAGUUGUUUCCUCCACCCUAUGCCCCUAUUCCGUUCGUCGGUGACGUCGCGUCUCCGCCAGAUAUAGCCCACCUCCCCAUCUAGGAUUACAUGGCGAUGUUGAGUGAGGACGCCCGGAAUGCAGUCGCCCGUGGAGAGGAUUGGGUCGAAUCCGCGGCAGAUAAUUCAUGGAUUAAACCUGGGUAAGCAUUGUUUCCUCUCGACUUGACGUUCUAAGUCGUAUUGUAGGCCGUAUUUGACUUCUGUUUGCUUGAAUCGUUCGAAUUUGUGCUCGAUUUUACCCGGCUAACUGAAGCCUUUAUUUCCUUCAACAAAAUAGGAUUGAUCCCGCGCUGGCUUUCCGGCUAGCGAUUAGAAUGGAAACUACUGUGCUGCGUCGUACUAAACCGCAUUUGAUUUCAUCAUUUUUCUAUCCCAAAGUGGUAGAAACCAGCAUAUCUUUCAAAGAUUUGCAAGCUGAGCUAAGAAACACCUAUCCCUGGAGUGAUGUCGAUGUUGUUGAACUGAAUUACUUCAGCAGUGACGAGCAAAGAUUUCUCCCACUAACUUGUGACGAUCAUAUGCCGUUGCUUUUUGCUGGGAUUGCUGGCUGCUGAUUCGGUAAACUCCAAAUCGAUGUGCUUCAGCCACGCGCAGAACGGGUGAAGGGGAAGGGAGUUCAAACAUCAUUUGUCUGUGCUAAUAGCCAGCACCCCAGCACUCCUUGUAGGUCGACACCAAGUAAAGCAAGUGGUUCAUGGAGCCACAACAUGCCUUCUGCCAAUUGUGGUUCCGAUUCAGCUGCUGCUUCUCGUGUACCUUCUGCAGUUGGUGUAGAAGAGGAUGCAGAACCUGACGAGGCAGUGCCUACAAAUGAUGAUGAAGACGAGAUGAUGUUUUCUGAACUGGUCGAUGUAGACAGUCAGCAAGCAGUGGAUGACGAAUAUAUGGAGGAGCCCAUCAGCCAAGCUAGGUUUGAUGACACUGACGAUGAAGAGAAGGUGGAGAACAUGGAUAGCUUAAUCGAGGAUGAAUACGAUGGUGAUGACAUGCCAACAAUUGAGUGGAACAGGGAAAAACCUGAGCUUAGUGUAGGUACCAUUUUCCAAUCAAUGGUGGACUGUCGGAAUGCAGUGACAACAUGGUGCAUUAUAUCUAAAAAUACCUAUAAGAUUAAAAGGAGUGAGCCAGCAAGGUUCACAGUUUUUUGUCCAUAUCCUAGGUGUAGGUGGAAGUUGCAUGCAUCUCGUAUGAGAAAGAGCAAAUAUAUUUAGGUAAUCCAAGUUCAGUUAGUAAUUUAGUUUCAGAUUGUUGAGUAAGGUUUCUUAACUGUUUUUUACCCUUUUAUUUUGUUUCAGAUAAAGAAAAACCCACACAAGCACACCUCUCCACCUGGAGGGGGAGGGGGAAGGCCAAAACCAAGCUAGCAAAAACUAGGUGGGUGGCAGAUGCUAUAUUGGAUUGGCUGAGAGAAGAACCUGGACUUGGUCCAACAGCACUCCAUGGGAAGCUUUUUGAGAAGUACAAGAUAGAAAUUCCUUACAUGAGAAUUUUCAAUGCUAGGGAAAAGGCUCUUGACAGAAUUAAUGGUCAAUGGAAUGACAGUUUUCAGCUGCUUUACAGUUUCAAAGUUGAAGUGGAGAUGGCAAGUCCAGGGAGUGUUGUAGAGAUUGACAAGCAUACAGUUCAAUUCAAAAUAAAAGGGAAGUCAUUUCAGAAGGAGUGCUUCAGAAGGGCUUUUGUUUGUUUCAAGGCUUGCUGACACGGGUUUCUAGAUGGUUGCAGGCCCUAUUUGGCUGUAGAUGCUACACAUUUGACUGGAAGAUGGAGAGGACAGCUAGUAGCAGCUUCUAUAGUUGAUGGACACAACUGGCUAUUCCCAGUUGCAUUUGGUGUGGUGGAGGCAGAGUCUGAGGAAAGUUGGGUCUGGUUUCUGCAGCAGUUGCGCAACAUUAUAGGCACACCCCCAGGUUUGGCUAUACACACAGAUGCUUGCAAGGGUUUAGAGAGUGCAGUGGAAAUUGUAUUCCCUAGAGUGGAGCAUAGGGAAUGUAUGCAACACCUAGCGCAUAAUUUCAAAAAGAAGUUCAAAGGUAAAGUUUAUGAUGAGAACUUAUGGCUAGCAUCAUACACAUGCAGCAAAAGGAAGCGUGAACACCAUUUGAGAGUGUUGUAUGCUCAAAAUCCUCUUGUGAAGGAGUACAUAGAUGCACAUCAUGGUAAGGUGUGGUCAAGAAGCAAAUUCAACGAAAUCUGCAAAGUAGAUUAUGUGACCAGUAACCUUGCAGAGUGCUUCAAUUCAAAGUUCAAGUCAGUGAAAGGGCUCUUGUUGUGGCAAGCAUUUGACAAGAUGGGGCAAAUGAUCAUGAUAAAGAUGGCUCUUAGCAAAAGAAUUGCAGAAACACAAUAUGUUGGUCAUCAAAUGCUCCCAUCACUGAUUAAGGCAUUGCACUUGAAGGCAAGAGGCCUGAAGAUGAAAUGUAUUCGAUCUGGUAUAUAUGAGGGAGAGGUUACCUAUACUGACACUAAAAAUAGGGUAUGGAGGUAUCCUGUGAACCUAAGUACUAGAGAAUGUACUUGUAGGCAAUGGCAGAUCCGUGGGAAGCCAUGCAUUCAUGCCCUACAUCUGAUGACCGUUAUCGGGGGUGCAGAUGGUGAAGUUGAUCAAUAUUGCUCUGAGUAUUUCUCUGUUGCCAAAUUUAUGGCUGCUUAUGCUGACAAUGUGCCUGCACUAUUGGGGAAAGAUCAAUGGAACAUAGUAGAUCCAGGGUUCAAACUCCACGCUCCUGUCAUUACUAGACCACCAGGAAGACCAACGAACCAGAGGAUUAGAGCAGGUGAGGAGGGUCGUCUACCAAAGAAGCGUGCUUGCAAAAAGUGUGGAGUUCUGGGGCAUAUUGCUAGGCUUUGUACCAAUGCAGUGGAUGCAUCAUUUGGAGAGGAGGAAAGAUGGACAUCAGCCAAUGCUGAGGAGAAUGCAACGGCAAUGGAGAUUGAAGAUGCAGUGGAGAAUGCAGCAGCAAUGGAGAUUGAAGAUGCAGUGGAGAAUGCAGCAGCAAAUGAAGGAGAAGAUUUUGAAACCAUGGCCUUUGAUGGUUUUGAAGCUAUAAGAGAGGAAGAGGAGGGGGUAAUUGUUCCAAUUGUGCCUUUAAAGAUUACUGAACCCAUAGAUGACCGUCAAAUGGUCGUCAAGUGCUCGGCGAGUGGAACUACUCCAUCAGCACCUCCACGGGGAAAACACCAAGUAAAGCCCAAGAUCAAAAGGAACAAGAGUCUGAAAGAAAAGAGCAUCUCAACUAGGGAAACCAGGAGAAAGACGGUGAAGCCAACUGCAAACACAAGGAGCAAGUCAAAAAUUUGAAUUAAGUUGUUGGAAAAUGUUUGUGUUGUCAAUUUGAGGGCGAGUCGAUCGCUUAAAACUUGGUAGAUUUGUAUUAAGAUGUUGGCAUCUUAAAACUUGGUAGCUUUGAGCUACUGUAAUAAUGUUGGCAUCAGUUGUAAUAAUGUUGGCAUCACUUGUAAUAAUGUUGCUUCUACUUUGGUUCCUUAUUUGAGUCAAAAUUCAAAUUUCCAUCAAAAUUUGAAUUUAAAUCAAUAUUUGAAUUUGGGCCAAAAUUUGGAUUCGAGCCAAAGUUGAAGUUGAACAUUGGAGGUUCAUUGCUCUGUGCGGUGUAUUUGAUCGAGCAUUCCAAGUCCAAUAUUCUUAGGUGAACAGUCCGAAUGAGAAAUGUGCUAGAAACGAGCUCAAAAGCUAGGUAAACAGCCCUAUUUGAAAUCAAGUUUUUUUUACCUUCCCUAAAUGAGACAUAUAUAUUUUUAUUAACACUUGUUCCAUAUAUAUAGGGUAAAAACGAAGUCUCACUAUUUAUUGAUUAAUAUUCAUAUUACUACAUUUUUUUGAAAAAAUAUGCUUUUAAUUCAAAACCGUCAAAUAACACGUUUUAGAUAUGAAAAUGAAAAAGUAAGUUCAGAUCCUUCUUAUUCACUCCAAAAUGAAGCUAUGGAGAUUUUUCUAAUUUUUUUUGAAUUUUUUUUUUCAAACCCUAAACCCUCUCUCCCUAUUCUACGAACUCUGAAAAUGUUCAUAGGCGAUAGCUCAUUUUUGUGAAGGCUUUUUUCAUGAAAAUGACCUACACCAAGUUUAUAUUUUUUUCUCAUAACCUUGUCACAUAUGACGGCUAUGUGCGCAAGAAUUACAACAUUUUGAUUUUUCUUUUGAUUUUUUUAAAAACAUUUGAACUUGAUUUCGACAGGUCACUUCAAAAAAUGACUUUUCAAAAAAACGCCCCUAUACCGAGUUUAUAUUUUUUUUAUGGUAACUAGGUCUCAUAAACAGACGAACUACGUUUGUUUUAUAUUUUUGCGAUUUUUUCUAAUUUAGUUAUGGCCAUUUGAAAUCUGGUCAAACCCUAAUAACCCCGUUGACUCGCUCAUAAACCCGCAGAAAUGCUCCAAACCCUAGCGUCGAACGUCCGCCGUCGGAUCAUACCCUAGCGCCAAACACCACCUGUCAGAUGUGGGCAGGCAUGCGCGAUCCGCGUGAUGCAUCCUGAUUGGCUACUGCACUGUCCUUCUCGGGUUUUUACGAUCUGCCCCACUUUACAUAUGAAAUUGUAUUUUUCGCACAUGACCACCACACGUCAGUGUUAAGAGUUGGUUCAAAUAUUCAAACUGCAAAAUACAAUGUGGCAAAUCAUCAUUAUAGCUUCCCCUUCUCCUCUUCUCCAUGUGACAGACAAAGGCAUCGAGCAGAUCGAGCAAUUCCUCUAUUUCUUUCCCCAUCUUCUCGUUCUUCUUCCUCUCGGCCAAUUCCUCUGUUAUUUCCUCUCGGGCGAUAUGUCGACCUCCUCGUCAGCCCCCCGUUCCACGUGGCCGGUGUAUGGUCUAGUGCCGAUGACUCGAUGCACUGACUGCCCACGGAUUGUGCCACUGAAGCGGUUGACUUCAGAGGAGGACAAGAAUGGGAACUUUGGGCGCGAGUUCGUCAAAUGCGAGAGCAAGCCGGAGGGGCAGCUUAGAUCUGAAUUUUCCUCGCAUCCUUUAUCUCUGUCAGAUUUGGAUUUAGGUUACAUGAUUUCGUUUUCAGAUCGUGAAGAAAUGCCACCAUUCCGAGUGGAUGGAUGAUUACAUCCAGAGGCUUCAAGGGUUGGGCUUGUUGGAUACGAGGGGGGAUGCAAUCUGCGAGUUCAAUCUGCCCCAUGACAGUGCCGCUCCGGCAGCAGCAGCGCGUCCAGAAUACCCGACGGUGGUAGAUGUCGAACUGAAGACGUAAUUGAAGAAGAUGAACAAGAACUUCAAGCAGCUGAUUGAGUUGAAGAAGCAAUCCAAUCUGAUAGCUUUAGGAAUACUUGCUCUAGGAUUUUUUUACUUGAUGGCCAUCUCUCGUUAGAGAUGUUUGUCUACUAUUGUUGCCACUGUUUAGCAAUCCUCGUCUGUUUAUCUCAAAUGCAACUCUGUUUAGUGCAAUUGUCGAUCUCUGAAUGUAUGCAAUUUACUGUUAAGUUUCGACACUUUCAGUUUCGACAGAAGACAACUACCAGUUCAGUGAUAGGAUUAUUUUGUUAGCUAAUAACCUCGAGUGUUGGGUCAUACCCUAGCUCAUCAGAUGACAAUAAGAAGUACUUGAGCAGCACGAGGGAUAUACAUCAAGUUCAUCUCUUCUCUCUCGCACUUGCCAAACUUUUGUCCUCGAGUUCGUUAGUUCUGCUAAAAAAACCUAGUUUGCGGGCCCAAAGAGAAUCAAGCUGCAAUAGGCCCACAAAGGAUAAAUGAGGCCCAGAAACAAGUGAUGUUUCUUUUUUUGUUUAGGAACGAUUGCUUUGUUAUUUUUUGUUUUUGAUUGUUUUUUUCAUUAAUUUGAUUGCCCAAUCUCUUCUAUCUCAUUGAGGAAUUUUUUUGGCUUUCCUUUAUGGGUCCCUUCAUUUAUCCUUUUGACUAAAGCCAAACAUCUCAAAGUGUAGUUUUCUACAUAGUGUAAUUUAUACUUCAUGAUUGGAAAAAGAGGUCCAACCAUACUUCAAACAUAGUGUAGUUUUCUACAUAUUAAAGUAGGGAUUAAAGUAUAUAAAACUAUAAUUUUGACUAAAGGCAAAUAUCUCAAAGUAUUUGAUACUCCAAUAUUUCUGAAAACCAAAGUAUUCUUGGAAUACCUAAAAAAUACAGAGCUCAGCAAACCAAAGCCGUGUACAAAUGUACAAUAUGUUCUUAUUUUUAGAAGGCAUCUAUAAACACAUCAUUUUUAGUUAGUUUGGUUAAUUUUUCCCACGCCAAUUAGUCGUGUCUAAACUUGGGACAAACAAAAUACAAACAUAACAAAACAUUAAUAUAACACACAUAACUUAACUUAGAUAGGGUUGCUAGGGCAACAUAAGUUCUUGGGACAUAUAACACGACACCAAUUUCUUACAUAGAUAAUAAUAAUUAGGGUAGCUAGGUCGGGCAACACACACACCAAACUAAUACUACAUACUAGAUAGGGUAGCUAGGGCAACACCGCCAUAUCUUCACCGUCGUCUUCACCUUAACCGCCGGCUUCACCGUCUUCUUUGCCGCCGGCUUCAGUACUCCUCCUCCUCAAGGCCGUUGUCGCCGAGGUAGUACGGGAGGCUGUGCAUGCGGUCGCGAGCGGGGAAGAUGCUCUCGAAGUCGGUGAAGAUGUUAUAGGUGGUGAAUGCGAUGAACUCGCACCCACACCAAUACACCUUGCCGAGCAGGUGGUAGGCAUCGAACCUGUUGGUGAAGUGGACGACGAGCCCUACCGGUGGAGCGUUGGUGUGGGGACGCUGCUCCACGAGGUUGAACAUGGGCGGCGAGCCCGCUGGGAGGUGGUGGAAGCCCGCACGGAGGAACCCCCGUGCAAGCUCAGUGCUACCCCUCCAGCGUGAGAACGCCCACACGCGGAGCGAUUCCUCGACGACGACGUUGGCGGGGUACCGCCGUUCCGGCACGGUGGGAGGCUCUUGGAACGUUGGGCCAUAGAACUGCAUCUUGAACGCUUCGCUGAGUGGAACCGCUCUGGCUUUUGGGGGAAGAAGAGAAGUGGGAGGCGCAGAUGGAUCUGUAGAAGAAGAGGCAAUGAAGGGCAGUUUAAAUAGCCGGGGGAGACGAAGUGGGUACACGCGCAAACGGCGUAGAUCGUGACUCAAUGCUGCUGUGUGAACCGAUGCGAUCAUCAAUGUGUGAACGUGAAUCGAAGCGAGCGUGCUCUGCGUUGGUGGCUCCGCGUGCUCUGCGUUGGCAGCUGCCUCCCCCUGCUGCGUUGGCGGCUGCCUGCCUGCCCCUUCUGUGUGCUCUGCGUUGGCGGCUGCCCCUUCUACAUGCCCCUUCUGCCACCGGCACAACUGAAUCGAGCGGCAGCCGUGCGGCGUGAACUGAUGCCUCGACAUAUGGACGCGAGCGUGCGAGCGUGCGUGCAGCCUGCCCCUUCUGCCACCGGCACGUAUGCCUGCGACGCGUGAAACGACGUUGCGGAGCGACUGAAUCCACUGGCAACCGUGCGGCACGGAUCGAUGUGUGCGUGUCGGCGUGCAUGCAUGCGUUUAUGUCUAGGUCACUAGAUGCGUGCGUGGCGGUGUUCGCAUGCAUAGCAGGCUACAUCGAUGCCAAAGACGGGCAUGCAUAGCAGGCUGCAUCCAUCGAUAGUAGGCUUUUUUAAUUUAUUACCAACAAACUAACGGGCCCGUCCUAUGAACACAAACACGGCCCAACCAACGAAGCCACAGCCACAGUCAACAGAGUUCAACAUGGCCCCACAAGUUAGUUAACGGCCAAGACGGCAAACGCCUGUUAUCAACAUUUGUGAGAGUUUCAGCUAAGGGAGAGGGGAAAAGUGAGCAAAAGUUUGAAGCGUGGGGAAAACUGAGCACAACUAAGGAAUUGGGGGCACAGAUGGAAUAAUCCCUUAAAAAACAAAGAGGGAGAGGCCCACUUGGGCCAAGGCCCAGCAGACCCCUGCCCUAGCGCCAGGGAGAGCACGCUCGAUCCCAUCUGCCGCUGCGCCUCUCCUCGUCUCCCUCGCGACCUCGCCCCUCCCCGUUCGAUCCCCUCUGCUCCGCCACGCAGUCCCACAGCCAGGGCCGCGUCGUGCCCGAGCCGCCCUCUCCAUCCUCACCCUCGCUCGCCCUCGCGCCCGCAGGGCGCCGCCACCAGCCCUGAGCGCCGCCGCUCCCUGCCCUGGUCUCCUCGCCUCGGCCUCGCCUCGCCCUGGACACCCCCGCGCCGCCUCGCGUCCCCUCUCGCCAGAGUACCCCGCCGUGCUACGCCCCCCAUCGCCCUCGGCCUGCCUCGCCCUCGUCGCGAGCCGUUGUUCCUACGCUGCCUCCCUCGCCCCGCCAUGGCCUCGCCUCCCUCGGCCUCGCCUCCUCUCCAGGCGUCAUGCUCGCGUCAGCCCCAUGGCGUCCCGCGUCGCCCUGGCCAUGGCCUUCGCCGGCAGGAGCCCCUGUGCCGGUUGCUCGCCUCAUCGUCCCGAGCUGGCAUCGCGCCGCCUUGUUCCCGUGCGUGUUGCUCUGUCGUGCUGUUGCCUGUUGCUGCGUCGCUGUUGCUGUUGGCAUGCUGCUUGCCUGCUUACCGCUGCACUCGUUGUCUGCUGCUGCCGUUUGCCGCUGUAAUGCGUUUGCUGCCUGUUUGUGUGCCAUAGUUGGUGCUGGUUCCUGUCGCUGCUCGUCGCCGUUAGCUGCCGCUGUUGCUGUCCCUGCUUUUGCUGUUGCUGUUUUGUGUUGUUGUUGCCUGAAGCUGGUACCUGCAGAUGCUGUUGUUGUGCUGCUGCUGCCGUGCUAGCCGCUGUUGUGGCUGUCUUGUUGUUGUUGCUUGUUGCUGUGCAUAGCUGCUGCAUGCUGUGUUGUGCUGUUGUUUGCCUGCUGCAAGACCUGCUGCUAUGUUGCUGUUGCUGCCGCUUGCCUGCCGGCGAUGCUCUUGCUUGCUAUUGCUGCUAGCUGAAUCUGCUUGCUGCUGCGUUAUGCUGCUGCUAGGUUGCUUAGUUGUUGUGUGUUGCUGCUAGCUGCAGUUUGCCGUGGCCGUAGCUGCUAUGCUUGCUGUUGCUAUUGUUAGAUGCUUAGAUGUUGAUAGUUGUAGUUGUUGCUUGCCUUGCUAGUUAGGCUAGGUGCUGCUGGCUUGCUAACAUGCUGUUGCAAGUUGCUGCUGGUAGAUGGUGGCAUGAUGCCGUUGUGUCGCGGUUGCCUCCUGGUGGUGCUGCUUGUGUCGCGUUGCUGUUUGAUGUCGCUGGUUAUGUCGGCGAAGACCGCGCGCGUCAUUCCCUCCUUCAUGGAACCGACAAGAUCGGCGGGUACCACGACGUCCUCGACGACCCCCGAAACGUGUUCGACGACCGAUGUGAAGACCGUGACCGACGCCGAAGACAGUGAACCACGACGCCGAGAGAACGACUACCGUCGACGAGACCGGUACCACGACUUCCACGACGUCCACGACGACCGUUGUUCCCCUUCACCGAACCGAACCGCUCCGAUUCGCACGCGUCGAAGGUAUACCGAUGAGACGUGUCGUGUAACGAACGAAUGUGAUGUAAGAGUUGUAUCGUGUGUUGCACCGUAUGUUGCCCAUUGCAUGUUAUCCCUCUUAUGUUGAGCCCCGACACAUGGGAACCCGGUAACCGGGAUCACCCAUCUUAUUUACCGUUCCCGCACGUGUUCCCAGUACGUUGGCACGAUAUCUCGAUGAGUUAUCGGGAUAGGAACGUUGCCGUGGCAUCGUUUCCGUCUUGCCGCCAUGGUUCCCUCUCGCUCGCCGUGGCGACACCUGUUUCUUUCCCUUCUUGCCCGUGUUAUGAACUCGCAUGCAUGAUGCAUUCAUGGCAUAUGAUCUUGUGUUGCAUGUCUCUCGUGCCGUAGCUCCGUUCUAUGUCUCGCGUGUUACCCGACUAGGAAGCCACGUAGAACCGUCGCUUCACCCUUUGCCAUGUUAACAACAUUUAAUAUUGCGUGUUAAAUAAUCAGGAGUGAAUUAAAUAAUUAAUCGUGGAGUUUCGUCGAUAUGCAACCCGUUUCAUAUCGAGGUUCAAUUAAUGUGUAGAGUUUGUGUGAGGUGAAUUGCCAUACCAUCCCUUGCAUUUUAACCUGUUCAUGCAUCAUAUUAGGAUGUGCAUCAUGUUGUGCAUCGUGUGGUGAAUAUCUGUGUUGAUGUUUGUUUCCGGUUUGUUCCGUCUCGAUAGAGUUCCACAAGCGUGUCGGAAUGUGAGGACCCGUUCGACUACGUUGGUUCGCCGACUUCUCGGAGUUGUUCUUCUUCCAAGCGGGAUCUCAGGCAAGAUGACCAUUUCCCCCGAUACCAUUACUUUCAUUGCCAUGCUAGUUUUAUCGCUUCUAUCGAUUAUGUCUCGUUGCCUACCACAUGUUAAAUAUCAGCCUCUCAAUCAUGCCAUGAUAACCUUCAACCUGUUUGACCUAGCAAACCACUGAUGGGCUAUGUUACCGCUUGCUUAACCAUGUUGUUAGUGUUGCUAGUUGCAGGUGUAGUUGCUUCCAUGUGACAACAUGGGUUCCUUGUUAUAUCACCCUAUUUAAAUGCUAUUUAAUUUAAUGCACCUAUAUACUUGGUAAAAGGUGGAAGGCUCGGCCUUUCUAGCCUAGUGUUUUGUUCCACCUUUGCCCCCUUAGUUUCGGCUACCGGUGUUAUGUUCCAUAAACGAGCGCUCCUAACACGAUCGGGGUUGUUAUGGGGACCCCCUUGAUAAUUCGUUUUCGAUUAAAGCUGGUCUGGCAAGGCCCAACAUUGGUACUACAUUUUCCCAACAUAAUAACUUUGUUAAUACUGAAAGCAUAGGGCGUCAUGAACCCGAGGAGUAAUUUCACAUAAUACAGGGGGGCCAGUGCUGUUGGUGCUGGUCCAAAACUAGAGCCAUUUGCGAGGCCAACCCGGGGCAACUCGGGAGAUUUCUAUCAGGCCACCGUACGCUGUGCUUAUCCGUCGUGUCCUGAGAACGAGAUACGCGGCUCCUAUCGGGAUCGUCGACACGCCGGGCGGCCUUGCUGGAUUAGUUUUACCUUUGACGAGAUAUCUUGUGUAUCGGGAUUCCGGUGAAACUUUGGGUAAUCUCAGAGUUGAAGUUUUCCACUAGGGAAUCCGACGAGAUCGCGAGCUUCGUGAUUGAGGAUUUCUAUGCGGCUUGUGGUAAUUUGUGAUGGACUAGUUGGAGCACCCCUACAGGGUUAAAUCAUCGUGCCCGCGGUUAUGUGGCAACGUGGAAACUUUGUUUAACACUGGUUCUAGACAACUUGAAGUUAACUUAAUUAAAAUAUGCCAACUGUGUGCGUAACCGUGAUUGUCUCUUUCGUGACUUCUUACUCCGAUCGAGGACACGGUGGGGUUAUGUCUGACGUAGGCAGGUGUUUAGGAUCAUUCAUUUGAUCAACAGUAGUUCACGUCCGUUAUGUGUAGAUCUUCCCCCUCUUAGUUCUUGUACUCGUAAGUAUAGCCACCCAAAAAUAUGCUUAGCCACUGCUGCAACCUCACCACUUAACCAUACCUCACCCAUUAAGCUUUGCUAGUCUUGAUACCUUUGGAAAUGAGAUUGCUGAGUCCUUUGUGCCUCACAGAUUACUACAACACCAGUUGCAGGUACAUGUAAAGGUUAUUUGACGCGAGCGCGUUGAUUGUUCAUUUGGAGUUGCUUCUUCCUCUUCUUCUUCAUCGAUCUAGGAUGGGUUCCAGGUUGGCAACCUGGGAUAGCAAGGAUGGACGUCGUUCUUCUUUUCUCGUUUGUUUUCGUCCGUAGUCGGACCCUGCUCUUACCCUUGAUGUUUAUGUAAUGUACUGAUGUGACUCUGAUGUAGCUUGUGGCGAGUGUAAGCCAAUUCUAUUAUAUAUCUCUUCUUUUCAGUACAUGUACUUGUAACGAUAUCCAUUCUUGCGACAUGACGAGAUGCGCUUCUAUCCCUGACGAGGCCCUCGUGCCAAAUUGAGGAUAGGGUUGCAUCUUGGGCGUGACACAUAGUGACCGCGAUGUAGAUGAGCAGGGGCUCUCUUUCAGCCGGCGCGGCCAAGACGGGUGUGCUGGAGAUCACACUCUUGAGGUUGCGGAAAGCUUCGUCCACUUGAUCAUUCCACUCGAACUUGGUGGUCUUCUUCAUCAGCUGGGAGAAUGUGAGCGCCUUCUCGACCAGCUAGCUGACGAACCGGUUGAGGGCGGCUAAGCAGCCGGCGAGCUUCUGGACGUCGAGGAGUCGAGCCGGCUUGGCCAUGCGCUCGAUGGUUCUGAUCUUCUCAGGAUUGGCCUCGAUGUCGCGUGCCGACACAAAGAAGCCCGGGAGCUUGCCGGUCGGUACUCUGAAGAUACACUUUUUUGGAUUAAGCCGGAUCUUGUACUCGCGUAGGUUGGAGAAGGUCUCCCACAAAUCGUCAAGGAGACUGAAAUGCUUCUUGAUCUUGACAACAAUGUCGUCGACGUAGACGUGUAUGUUCCUGCCGAUCUGCAGCAGGAGGCAUUGCUGCAUGCAGGAAGGUAGCGCCUGCAUUCUUCAGGCCGAACGUCAUUGUUGUGUAGCAGUAGGAUCCAAAGGGGGUGGUGAAGGAGGUCUUCAGCCAGUCAGCCUGGUCCAGCUUGAUCUGGUGGUAGCCGGAAUAGGCGUCCAAAAAGUACAACAGUUCGCAGCCGACCGUGGAGUCAAUCACUUGAUCUAUCCAUGGCAGGGCGAAAGGGUCCUUGGGACACGCCUUGUUCAAGCUCGUGUAGUCGAUAUGCAUGCGCCAUGUCUCGUUCUUCUUCAGCACCAGGACUGGGUUGGCCAUCCAUUCGGGGUGGAAAACUUCCAUGAUGAAACCGGCUGCGAGCAGCCGGGCAAUCUCUUCUCCAAUGGUGCACCGCUUCCCCUUAGAAAGCGGCGCAAAGGUUGUUUGUUCGGCUUUUCAUCCGGUCAUACAUGAAGCUUGUGCUCGAUGUACUUUUUGGGGACUCCCAGCAUGUCCUUGGGGGACCAUGCAAAGAUAUCUCGAUUCUCACGGAAGAAGUCGACGAGCUCACCUUCCUAUUUGAGGCUGAGGUUGGCGCCGAUGGUGACGCAUUGCUUGGGGUUAGCCGGGUCGAGUGGCACCUGCUUGGUGUCCUUGGACGGCUCAAACGAGGCCUCACUGGCCGGCUGGGAGGGGGAGUUGGCACGGCCGGCUACUCGGUGGCCUGAGCCACAAGCCGGUCGAGCUGCCUCUUCUCCUCAACAAUCACCAGCGCCUCGGCCACCCGGCUGGCGGCUGCUGUCGCACACGCACUCGAUCGACUUCUUGUAGUCGCCAGCAAUGGUGAUAAUGCCCUUGGUCCAGGCAUCUUCAUCUUGAGGUAGGCAUAGUGAGGGAUUACCAUGAACUUGGCGAGCGUCAGCCUGCCCAGAAGCACGUGGUAGGGGCUAUCGAGCUUCACCACCUCGAACCAGAUUGGCUCGCGGAGGAAGUGGGCCUUCUCACCGAAGAGGAUGUCCAGCUGGAUCUUGCCAACGGGUGAGCAGGACUGCCCCGACACGAUGCCGUGAAAGACAGUGUUGGAUGGAUGCAUGUCCUUCUCCUUGAGUCCUAGCUUGAGCAGGGUGUCGCGGUAGAGGAUGUUGAUGCUACUGUUGGAAAUAUGCCCUAGAGGCAAUAAUAAAAUAGUUAUUAUCAUAUUUCCUUGUUCAUGAUAAUCGUCUAUUGUUCAUGCUAUAAUUGUAUUAACAAGAAACAGUAAUACAUGUGUGAAUAAAUAGAUCACAAUGUGUCCCUAACAAGCCUCUAGUUGGCUAGCUCGUUAGUCAAUAGAUGAUCAUGGUUUCCUGAUCAUGGGCAUUAGAUGUCAUUCAUAACGGGAUCACGUCAUUUGGAGAAUGAUGUGAUGGACAACACCCAAUCCUAAGCAUAGCACUAGAUCGUGUUGUUCGUAUGCUAAAGCUUUUCUAAUGUCAAGUAUAUUUUCCUUCGACCGUGAGAUUGUGCAACUCCCGGAUACCGUAGGAGUGCUUUGGGUGUAUCAAACGUCACAACGUAACUAGGUGACUAUAAAGGUGCACAACGGGUAUCUCUGAAAGUGUCUGUUGGGUUGGUACGAAUCGAGAUUGGGAUUUCACUCCGUGUGACGGAGNNNNNNNNNNNNNNNNNNNNNNNNNNNNNNNNNNNNNNNNNNNNNNNNNNNNNNNNNNNNNNNNNNNNNNNNNNNNNNNNNNNNNNNNNNNNNNNNNNNNNNNNNNNNNNNNNNNNNNNNNNNNNNNNNNNNNNNNNNNNNNNNNNNNNNNNNNNNNNNNNNNNNNNNNNNNNNNNNNNNNNNNNNNNNNNNNNNNNNNNNNNNNNNNNNNNNNNNNNNNNNNNNNNNNNNNNNNNNNNNNNNNNNNNNNNNNNNNNNNNNNNNNNNNNNNNNNNNNNNNNNNNNNNNNNNNNNNNNNNNNNNNNNNNNNNNNNNNNNNNNNNNNNNNNNNNNNNNNNNNNNNNNNNNNNNNNNNNNNNNNNNNNNNNNNNNNNNNNNNNNNNNNNNNNNNNNNNNNNNNNNNNNNNNNNNNNNNNNNNNNNNNNNNNNNNACACGAUGACGUGCUACGAAACGAGUAAAGAGACUUACCGGUAACGAGAUUGAACAAGGUAUUGGUAUACCGACGAUCGAAUCUCGGGCAAGUUCUAUACCGACACACAAAGGGAAUUGUAUACGGGAUUGAUUGAAUCCUCGACAUCGUGGUUCAUCUGAUGAGAUCAUCGUGCAGCAAGUGGGAGCCACCAAGGGUAUCCAGACCUCGCUGAUGGUUAUUGGCCGGAGAGGUGUCUCGGUCAUGUCUGCUUGUCUCCCGAACCCGUAGGGUCUACACACUUAAGGUUCGAUGACGCUAGGGUUAUAGGGAAUUGUUAUACGAGGUUACCGAAAGUUGUUCGGAGUCCCGGAUGAGAUCCUGGAUGUCACGAGGAGCUCNNNNNNNNNNNNNNNNNNNNNNNNNNNNNNNNNNNNNNNNNNNNNNNNNNNNNNNNNNNNNNNNNNNNNNNNNNNNNNNNNNNNNNNNNNNNNNNNNNNNNNNNNNNNNNNNNNNNNNNNNNNNNNNNNNNNNNNNNNNNNNNNNNNNNNNNNNNNNNNNNNNNNNNNNNNNNNNNNNNNNCAAGCUCAUGCCCGUGUCAAGAGAUAUGAAGUCUCCUACAAGUUCUUUAGCUGUAAGAUGGAGGAGAACAGUUCUGUCAGUGAGCACAUACUCAAAAUGUCUGGAUUACACGGUCGUCUGACUUCACUUGGAGUCGAACUUCCGGAUGAUGCUAUAAUUGACAGAAUCCUCCAGUCUCUCCCACCAAGCUACAAAGGCUUUGUGCUUAACUACAACAUGCAAGGGAUGGAGAAGACCAUUCCCGAGUUGUACUCGAUGCUCAAGUCUGCAGAAGUAGAAAUCAAGAAAGAGCAUCAAGUGUUGAUGGUCAACAAGACCACUAGUUUCAAGAAGGGCAAGGGUAAGAAGAACUUCAAGAAAGACGGCAAAGCUGUUGCCGCGCCCGGUAAGCCAGAUGCCGGGAAGAAGAAAAAGAAUGGACCCAAGCCUGAGACUGAGUGCUUCUAUUGCAAGGGAAAGGGUCACUGGAAGCGGAACUGCCCCAAAUACUUAGCGGACAAGAAGGUCGGCAACGUUAAAGGUAUAUGUGAUAUACAUGUUAUUGAUGUGUACCUUACCAGCGCUCAUAGUAGCUCCUGGGUAUUUGAUACUGGUGUUGUUGCUCACAUUUGCAACUCAAAAGAGGAACUGCGGAAUAAGCGGAGACUGGCCAAGGACGAGGUGACGAUGCGCGUCGGGAAUGGUUCAAAGGUCGAUGUGAUCGCCGUCGGCACGCUACCUCUACAUCUACCAUCAGGAUUAGUCUUAAACCUUAAUAAUUGUUAUUUAGUACCAGCUUUAAGCAUGAACAUUGUAUCAGGGUCUUGCUUAAUGCGAGACGGCUACUCAUUUAAGUCAGAGAAUAAUGGUUGUUCNNNNNNNNNNNNNNNNNNNNNNNNNNNNNNNNNNNNNNNNNNNNNNNNNNNNNNNNNNNNNNNNNNNNNNNNNNNNNNNNNNNNNNNNNNNNNNNNNNNNNNNNNNNNNNNNNNNNNNNNNNNNNNNNNNNNNNNNNNNNNNNNNNNNNNNNNNNNNNNNNNNNNNNNNNNNNNNNNNNNNNNNNNNNNNNNNNNNNNNNNNNNNNNNNNNNNNNNNNNNNNNNNNNNNNNNNNNNNNNNNNNNNNNNNNNNNNNNNNNNNNNNNNNNNNNNNNNNNNNNNNNNNNNNNNNNNNNNNNNNNNNNNNNNNNNNNNNNNNNNNNNNNNNNNNNNNNNNNNNNNNNNNNNNNNNNNNNNNNNNNNNNNNNNNNNNNNNNNNNNNNNNNNNNNNNNNNNNNNNNNNNNNNNNNNNNNNNNNNNNNNNNNNNNNNNNNNNNNNNNNNNNNNNNNNNNNUCUCGAUCGUGAUGUUACACAUAUUCAUAGUGUGAGUACCAAAAGAUGUAAAGUUGAUAAUGAUAGUCCCACAUACUUGUGGCACUGCCGCCUUGAUCAUAUCGGCGCUAAGCGCAUGAAGAAGCUCCAUACUGAUGGACUAUUAGAGUCUCUUGACUUUGAAUCAUUUGACACAUGCGAACCGUGCCUCAUGGGAAAGAUGACUAAGACUCCAUUCUCAGGAAUAAUGGAGAGAGCAACCGACUUAUUGGAAAUAAUAGAUACUGAUGUGUGUGGUCCGAUGAACGUUGAAGCUCGCGGUGGCUAUCGUUAUGUUCUCACUCUCACCGAUGAUUUCAGUAGGUAUGGGUAUAUCUACUUGAUGAAGCACAAAUCUGAGACGUUUGAAAAGUUCAAGGAAUUUCAGAGUGAGGUUGAGAAUCAACGUGACAGAAAAAUUAAAUGUCUACGAUCUGAUCGUGGAGGAAAAUAUUUGAGUCACGAGUUUGGCACACACCUAAGGAAGUGUGGAAUCCUUUCACAACUGACACCGCCUGGCACACCGCAACGCAAUGGAGUGUCUGAACGUCGUAAUCGCACUUUAUUAGAUAUGGUAUGAUCUAUGAUGUCUCUUACCGACUUACCGCUAUCAUUUUGGGGAUACGCAUUAGAAACUGCAGCAUUCACUUUAAAUAGGGCACCGUCUAAAUCCGUUGAGAUGACACCGUAUGAACUAUGGUUUGGCAAGAAACCUAAGUUGUCGUUUCUUAAAGUUUGGGGCUGCGAUGCUUAUGUGAAGAAACUUCAACCAGAAAAGCUCGAACCCAAAGCGAAGAAAUGUGUAUUCAUAGGAUACCCUAAGGAAACUAUUGGGUAUACCUUCUAUCUUAGAUCCGAAGGUAAAACCUUUGUUGCCAAGAACGGAUCCUUUCUAGAGAAAGACUUUCUCUCGAAAGAAGUAAGUGGGAGGAAGGUAGAACUUGAUGAGGUAAUUACACCCCCUCUCGAACAGGAUAGUAGCGCAGCGCGGGAAGUUGUUCCUGUGGCGCCUACACCAACUGAAGAGGAAGUGAAUGAUGAUGAUCAUGAAGCUUCGGAUCAAGUUACUACUCAACUGCGAAGGUCCACAAGGGCACGCUCCGCACCAGAGUGGUACGGCAACCCUGUGAUGGAAAUCAUGUUGUUAGACAACGACGAACCUUCGAAUUAUGAAGAAGCGAUGGUGGGCCCGGAUUCCAACAAAUGGCUUGAAGCUAUGAAAUCCGAGAUAGGAUCCAUGUAUGAGAACAAAGUAUGGACUUUGGUGGACUUUCCCGAUGACCGGCGAGCCAUAGAAAAUAAAUGGAUCUUCAAGAAGAAGACUGAUGCAAACGGUAAUGUAACCGUUUACAAAGCUCGACUUGUCGCAAAGGGUUUUCGACAAAUUCAAGGAGUUGACUACGAAGAUACUUUCUCUCCCGUAGCGAAGCUGAAAUCAGUCCGAAUCAUGUUAGCAAUUGCCGCCUUUUAUGAUUAUGAAAUUUGGCAAAUGGACGUCAAAACAGCGUUCCUUAACGGGAACCUUAAGGAAGAGUUGUAUAUGAUGCAACCAGAAGGUUUUGUCGACCCUAAGGGUGCUAACAAAGUGUGCAAGCUCCAGCGCUCCAUCUAUGGGCUGGUGCAAGCAUCUCGGAGUUGGAACAUUCGCUUUAAUGAGGUGAUUAAAGCGUUUGGAUUCAUACAGGUUUACGGAGAAGCAUGUAUGUACAAGAAAGUGAGUGGGAGCUCUGUAGCUUUCCUCAUACUGUAUGUGGAUGACAUAUUAUUGAUGGGGAAUGAUAUAGAGAUGUUGGGGAGCAUAAAGGCCUAUUUGAACGAAAGUUUUUCGAUGAAGGACCUUGGAGAAGCAGCAUACAUAUUAGGCAUCAAGAUCUAUAGAGAUAGAUCGAGACGCCUCAUAGGUCUUUCGCAAAGUACAUACCUUGACAAGAUAUUGAAGAAGUUCAAUAUGGAAAACUCAAAGAAAGGGUUCUUGCCAGUUUUGCAAGGUAUGAGAUUGAGUAAGACUCAGUCUCCGACCACGGCAGCAGAUAGAUAGAAGAUGAGUUAUGUCCCCUACGCAUCAGCCGUGGGCUCUAUAAUGUAUGCCAUGCUAUGUACCAGACCUGAUAUAAACCUUGACAUAAGCUUGGUAGGGAGGUACCAAAGUGAUCCCGGUAUGGUACACUAGACAGCGGUCAAGAAUAUCCUUAAGUACCUGAAAAGGACUAAGGAAGUGUUUCUCGUUUAUGGAGGUGACGAAGAGCUCGUCGUAAAGGGUUACGUCGACGCUAGCUUCGACACAGAUCCGGAUGACUCUAAGUCACAGACCGGAUACAUAUAUGUGUUGAAUGGUGGGGCAGUGAGCUGGUGCAGCAGCAAGCAAGAAGUCGUGGCAGCAUCUACAUGUGAAGCGGAGUACAUAGCUGCUUCAGAAGCGGCUCAUGAAGGAAUUUGGAUGAAGGAGCUCAUCACCGACCUUGGAGUGGUUCCAAGCGCAUCGGGUCCAAUGACACUCUUUUGUGAUAACAUUGGGGCAAUUGCCAUAGCCAAGGAGCCCAGGUUUCACCGGAAGACGAAGCACAUCAAAUGCCACUACAACUCCAUCCAGGACCAUGUACAGAGUGGAGUGAUAGAUAUUAGUAAAGUACACACGGAUAUGAAUAUUGCAGACCCGUUGACUAAACCUCNNNNNNNNNNNNNNNNNNNNNNNNNNNNNNNNNNNNNNNNNNNNNNNNNNNNNNNNNNNNNNNNNNNNNNNNNNNNNNNNNNNNNNNNNNNNNNNNNNNNNNNNNNNNNNNNNNNNNNNNNNNNNNNNNNNNNNNNNNNNNNNNNNNNNNNNNNNNNNNNNNNNNNNNNNNNNNNNNNNNNNNNNNNNNNNNNNNNNNNNNNNNNNNNNNNNNNNNNNNNNNNNNNNNNNNNNNNNNNNNNNNNNNNNNNNNNNNNNNNNNNNNNNNNNNNNNNNNNNNNNNNNNNNNNNNNNNNNNNNNNNNNNNNNNNNNNNNNNNNNNNNNNNNNNNNNNNNNNNNNNNNNNNNNNNNNNNNNNNNNNNNNNNNNNNNNNNNNNNNNNNNNNNNNNNNNNNNNNNNNNNNNNNNNNNNNNNNNNNNNNNNNNNNNNNNNNNNNAAUAAAAUGGUUAUUAUCGUAUUUCCUUGUUCAUGAUAAUCGUCUAUUGUUCAUGCUAUAAUUGUAUUCACAGGAAACAGUAAUACAUGUCUGAAUAAAUAGAUCACAAUGUGUCCCUAGCAAGACUCUAGUUGGCUAGCUCGUUAGUCAAUAGAUGAUCAUGGUUUCCUGAUCAUGGGCAUUAGAUGUCAUUGAUAACGGGAUCACGUCAUUUGGAGAAUGAUGUGAUGGACAAGACCCAAUCGUAAGCAUAGCACUAGAUCGUGUUGUUCGUAUGCUAAAGCUUUUCUAAUGUCAAGUAUCUUUUCCUUCAACCGUGAGAUUGUGCAACUCCCGGAUACCGUAGGAGUGCUUUGGGUGUAUCAAACGUCACAACAUAACUGGGUGACCAUAAAGGUGCACAACGAGUAUCUCUGAAAGUGUCUGUUGGGUUGGUACGAAUCGAGAUUGGGAUUUGUCACUCCGUGUGAUGGAGAGGUAUCUCUGGGCNUGAGCUCAAUGUGACUAAAAGAGUUAGUCGCACGAUGAUGUGCUACGGAACGAGCAAAGAGACUUACCGGUAACGAGAUUGAACAAGGUAUAGGUAUACCGACGAUCGAAUCUCGGGCAAGUUCUAUACCGACAGACAAAAGGAAUUGUAUACGGGAUUGAUUGAAUCCAUGACAUAGUGGUUCAUCCGAUGAGAUCAUCGUGGAGAAAGUGGGAGCCACCAUGGGUAUCCAGACCCAGCUGAUGGUUAUUGGCCAGAGAGGUGUCUCGGUCAUGUCUACCUGUCUCCCGAACCCGUAGGGUCUACACACUUAAGGUUCGAUGACGCUAGGGUUAUAAGGAAUUGUAAUACGAGGUUAUCGAAAGUUGUUAGGAGUCCCGGAUGAGAUCCCGGACGUCACGAGGAGCUUCGUAAUGGUCCGGAGGUAAAGAUUGAUACAUAGGACGGAUGAUUUCGGACACCGGAAGUGUUUCGGGCGUCACCGGUAACGUACCGGGACCACCGCAGGUGGCCCCGGGGGUCCACCGGAAGGGGGCAACGACCCCGGGAGGCUAUAUGGCCAAGUGCGGGAGGGAACUAGCCCCUAGGUGGGCUGGUGCGCCCCUCACAAUCAGCCCAAGGCGCAGGAGGUGGAGAGGUGGGGAAACCUUAGGCGCUGGUGGGCCUAAGGCCCACGUAGGGGUGUGCCACCCCUCCCUAUUGCCCUGGCCGCCGCACCUCCCAUCUGGGGGGGCUGCCGCACCACCUAGGGUGGGAACCCCAGGGGUGGCACCCCCUCCCCUCCUCCUAUAUAUAGUGGGCACUUUUGGGCUAUUGGAGACACAAUUUUCCCUCUCCCUCGGCGCAACCCUGUUCUUCUUUCUCCUCCUCUGUGACGGUGCUUGGCGAAGCCCUGCCGGGAGACCUCGUCUCUCCAUCGACACCACGCCGUCGUGCUGCCAGAGAUCUUCCCCAACCUCUCCCUCCUCCUUGCUGGAUCAAGGUGCGGGAGACGUCACCGGGCUGCACGUGUGUUGAACGUGGAGGUGCCGUGGUUCGGCACUUGAUCGGAAUCACACCGCGAUCUGAAUCGCCGCGAGUACGACUCCAUCAACCGCGUUCUAGCAACGCUUCCGCUUAGCAAUCUUCAAAUGUAUGAAGAUGCACUCACCCCUCUCUCGAUGCUGGUCUUUCCAUAGGAAGAUCUGAAUAUGCGUAGGAUUUUUUUUGAAUUUAUGCUACGUUACCCAACAUAGCCUCCCUCAAAACAGCCACCAUACCUACCUACUAUGGCUUUUUCAAAGUCAUUCCGAGAUAUAUUGCCAUGCAACUACCACCAUGACAUGUGCCACCACAUCUACAUUGCCAUUGCAUGAUCGUAAGAUAGCUAGCAUGAUGUUUCCAUUGAUGUCUAUGCCAUGCUAGAUCAUUGCCACGGUACACUACCGAAGGCAUUCCAUAUAGAGUCUUUGUUACUCUAAGUUUUGAGUUAAAAGUGUGAUGAUCAUCAUUAAUGGAGCAUUGUCCCAUGUGAGGAAAUAAAAGAGGCCAAAGAAGCCCACCAAAAUAUAUUAAAAAAAGAGGCCAAAGAGCCCACCAAAUAAAAAAAUGAGAGAAAAAGAGAGAUGCUACCACUUUUUCCACACUUGUGCAUAUUAAGCACCAUGAUCUUCAUGAUUGAGAGUCUCUCGUUUUGUCACCACCAUAUAGCUAGUGGUAAAUUUUCAUUAUAUAACUUGGCUUGUAUAUUCCAAUGAUAGGCUUCCUCAAAAUUGCCUUAGGUCUUCGUGAGCAAGCAAGCUAGAUGCACACCCACUAGUUCUCUUUAAGAGCUUUCACAUACUCUUAGCUCUAGUGCAUCAUUUGUAUGGCAAUCCCUACUCAUUCACAUUGAUAUCUAUUGAUGAGCAUCUCCACUGCUCAUUGAUAUGCCUAGUUAAUGGGACUAUCUUCUCCUUUUUGUCUUGCAACCUCCACUAUAUUCCACGCCAUCUAUAGUGCUAAAACCAUGGCUCACGCUCAUGUAUUGCGUGAGAGUUGAAAAUGUUUGAGAAAAUAAAGGUGUGAAACAAUUACUUGACCAAUACCGGGGUUGUGCAUGAUUUAAAUUCGUUGUGCAAUGAUGAUAGAGCAUAGCCAGACUAUAUGCUUUUGUAGGGAUAACUUUCUUUUGGCCUUGUUAUUUUGAAAGUUCAUGAUUACUUUGCUAGUUUGCUUGAAUUAUUAUUGUUUCCACGUCAAUAGCAAACUAUUGUUUUGAAUCUAAUGGAUCUAAACAUUCACGUCACAUAAGAGGAAUUACAAAGGACACCUAUGCUAGGUAGCAUGAAAGCAUCAAAAAUUCAUUCUUAUCACUUCCCUACUCGAGGAUGAGCAGGAGUUAAGCUUGGGGAUGCUUGACACGUCUCAAACGUAUCUAUAAUUUUUGAUGGUUUCACGCUGUUAUCUUGUCUUCUUUGGUUGUUUUAUGUAUCUUUUUAUAUCUUUUUGGGACUAACUUAUUAAUUCAGUGCCAAGUGCCAGUUCCUGUUUUUUCCGUGUUUUUGACUCUUUUCAGAUUUGAUUUUGGAACGGAGUCCAAACAGAAGAAAAACCCCGAAAUGAUUUUUUCUCGAACGGAAGAAGACCAGGGGGCUUUUGGGCCAAGCCAGGUGGGCUCCAGGGAGCCCACAAGCCCCCACUCCGCCACCAGGGGGAGGCGGCGGUGGGCAGGCUUGUGGCCUCCCAGGCCGCCCCCUAACCUAGAUCUUUGGCCUAUAAAUUCCCAAAUAUUCCGCAAAAAAUCAGGGGAGCCUCGAAAAUACUUUUCCGCCACCGCAAGCUUCCGUUUCCGCGAGAUCUCAUCUGGAGACCCUUCCCGGCGCCCUGCCGGAGGGGACUUUGGAGUUGGAGGGCUUCUUCUUCAUCAUCAUCGCCCCUCCAAUGAAUCGUGAGUAGUUUACUUCAGACCUACGGGUCCGUAGUUAGUAGCUAGAUGGCUUCUUCUCUCUCUUGGAUCUUCAAUACAAAGUUCUCCAUGAUCGUCAUGUAGAUCUAUCCGAUGUAAUCUUCUUUGACGGUGUGUUUGUCGAGAUUUGAUGAAUUGUGGAUUUGUGAUCAGAUUAUCUAUGAUAUAUAUUUGAGUCUUUGCUGAUUUCUUAUAUGCAUGAUUUGAUAUCCUUGUAAGUCUCUCCGAGUCUUGGGUUUUGUUUGGCCAACUAGAUCUAUGAUUCUUGCAAUGGGAGAAGUGCUUGGUUUUGGGUUCUACCAUGUGGUGACCUUUCCCAGUGACAGUAGGGGCAGCAAGGCACACAUCAAGUAGUUGCCAUCAAGGGUAAAAAGAUGGGGGUUUUAUCAUUGGUUUGAGAUUAUCCCUCUACAUCAUGUCAUCUUGCUUAAGGCGUUACUCUGUUCUUAUGGACUUAAUACACUAGAUGCAUGCUGGAUAGCGGUCGGCGUGUGGAGUAAUAGUAGUAGAUGCAGAAAGUAUCGGCCUACGUGUUUCGGACGUGAUGCCUAUAGAAAGAAUCAUUGCAUAGAUAUCGUCACGACUUUGCGCGGUUCUAUCAAUUGCUCGACAGUAAUUUGUUCACCCACCGUCUACUUGCUUUCAUGAGAGAAGCCACUAGUAAACACUACGGCCCCCGGGUCUAUUCACAUCCAUCGUUUACACCUCCGCUUUUACUUUCCUUUGUUACUUUGUUGCUUUCAGUUCUCACUUGGCAAACAAUCUAUAAGGGAUUGACAACCCCUUCAUAGUGUUGGGUGCAAGCUUUUGUGUUUGUGCAGGAUCUUGAGAUACUCUUCCGCCGGAUUGAUACCUUCGUUCUCAAACUGAGGGAAAUACUUACCGUCGCUGUGCUACAUCACCCUUUCCGCUUCGAGGGAACGCCAACGCAAGGCUCCAAGGCCACGGGGGAAAUCCUUUGCAUACUUGCCUAGGAAGUCCCUUAAGGCGUAGCCAUAGCUGAAGGAUUCCUGGUGCCGUCGACACAACUAUUUCCUGGCGCCGUUGCAAGGGAUACACAACAAACAUCAGAGACGCUCAUGAAACUGUUGUUUUCCGAGCGAUUUCGUUUGGGGCCCCAUCGUCAGUCCGACGUAGCGGAUGCGCCCGGUCGUGCCCAUGCCUCCUUUACCUGUCCCAUAUUUGGGCUAGAUAUGAGGGAUGACGGUCAACCCGGGCAUUUGAGGCUCAUUUGAGGCACCCACCUUGAUCGUUUUUUGUUGACCGGUCACCAAAUGAGCCAUCCACCCGAACGUAUGAGGAGGGUGCCCGAGUGUAGAUGCCCUACCCCAGAUAUGUCGAGGACCAUACCCACCAUUUAAUUUAGGUUUUCAUCAUUUUAAGGAAAUAAAUACAUUGGGCAUUAAGUAUGCUAAAUCACGAGUCAAAAACUACUCCUUCCAAUCCAUAAUAACUGUCGUCAUUUAAAAUUGUAAUGACAUAGCUGUGUCGCCCUUCGCCAAUCUUAGAGCAUCUCUAGCAGACCCCGUAUAAAGCCGCGACCCGCAAAAUAACCGCCAAAAUACGGGUCCACGCGAAAAAUAUUGCCCGAUCAAACCCCGCAAACACGUUCGAUCCGUAAUUUUUUUUGAGGGGUGCGGCAAAAUCCCCUCUCUGACCCAUGAAAACACAAGUUUAUGCCUCGCCCCUACGGUUCCCCAUAUACCAAGAAAGCGGUUGGCGGGAGGGACAUUUCAGCCCGCGCCCUUUCCCCACCCCUUCCGCCACCGCCUGCCAUUGGUUCCUCCAGUACGCCGCCGAGGAUUUCCAUCCAAAUCCGCGGGCAGGAUCUGUCAACCUCUCGAUCAAACACAUUGUGCAUUUCGUUGAUCUUUGGGUUCAUCUUGAGCAGUUUCAAAUUAUAACGGAUGUGGAGGACGAUAUCUCUUGGAAGUUUGAGGCGAAGGGGGAGUACUCUGCGUCCUUCGCUUACAGGAUACAAUUCCUGGGCUCCAUGACAACCACCAUGAACAAGACCAUCUAGAAGGUUUGGGCACCUCCAAAGGUCAACUUUUUCUCCUGGUUAGCGAUCCAAAACAGGAUCUGGAUGGCGGAUAGAUUGGAGAAGCGAGGCUGGGAGAACUGCGGUCUGUGCACUCUGUGUAGAAGGGAUAAUGAAACGGCCGCGCACCUAUUCUAUCGGUGCAGAUUCAUGCUCCGCGUUUGGAGACUGGUAAAGGAGUGGCUUGGCCUUGGGUCCAUGGACACUCGCCAAUGGUCGACUGAGCCGAACGUCAAGUAUUGAUGGACAAGCAUGUCGAAACCAAACACGAUGAAUAGGAAGGCCAUCGCUUCACUGACUAUACUUGUCAGUUGGGUAAUCUGGAAUGAGAGAAACGCUAGAGUCUUCAGGAAAAAUCGAGGCCACCCAUAUACAUCCUCAAGCUGAUACAAGACGAAGCAAAGCUUUGGGUCACGGCAGGAGCGAGGCACCUGAGCAGCAUCAUGUUGCGAGAGUAGUUGUCGUUUACCGUGUGCUUGGAUGAGCUAUGAUGUAAGGCCAUUCACCUAUUAUGUAAAACUCUCCUCCUUUAUUAAUAUAUGAGGCAAGUUUUUUGCCUCUGUUCAAAGAAAAAAUGUGUUGCAACGGUCUCAUUUGUUUACUAAGCUUGCUAGUGGUCAUGCUCCUACUUGCAACUACACGAUCAAUGGACGUGAAUACACAAAGUGGUAAUAGCUUGCAGAUGGUAUAUACCCUUCUUGGUGCACAUUUGUUAAGAGCAUCAAAGCCUCCCAAACUAGGAAAGAGUGUGAAUUCGCAAGGGCACAAGAGGCAGUCCGAAAAGACAUUGAAAGAGCAUUUCGGGUUUUGCAAUCUAGGUUUGCCAUUGCUUGUGGUCGUGCUUGGUUUUGGGACAAGAGAUCCUUGAAAAACAUCAUGGCAUGUUGUGUUACUCUUCACAAUAUGAUUAUCGAAGAUGAGAGAGGCAUGAACUUGGAGUUCUUCUACGAGAAUGUGGGUAGCCAUGUCAAACCAACUAGAGACCCUAACAGAAUUAGAGAUUUUUUUCACAUCUACAAGGAGAUUGAAAAUGAAAACACUCAGUGUCAACUUUAGAUAAAUAUCAUUGAGCACCAUUGACAAAGGGUUGAGCAAUAACACAUUCUAUUUUUCCAUUCAUUUUCAUUUCAUUCAUGUGUGAUUUGUAUACGGGACAAGUUUUGUAUUGAAUUAUUUAGUUUGCUAUGGUGAUUUGAAUAAUUAUUGUACUUUGGAUGAUUAUUGUAUUGUAAUAUUGACAUUUUUCUUAUAUUGCACAUUAGCAAUUCUGAUUUACGGGAUUUUCGGUUUGCAGAUCGGCGCGGCGGCGCCCGAGCAGACCCGCAUAACCGACUCAUAAAAGAGCAUCUUCUACGAAUAUCUUUUUUAUGGGUCCGUUUUGCGGGACGUGACUCUGUCCGCGCCCGCGCCGGCCCGUAAAAACAUUUUUCUGUGAACUGUAAACGAGUUUUACAGGCCGGCAUUAUACAGGGUCUGCUAGAGAUACUCUUACAAUAUUCUUUUUGGUGGGAUGUCAAAUCUUACAAGUUUACAAUUAGUCCGCUAUUGGACUUGCUUUUAAAGCACGUACAACCUGACUUGGCAAAUUCGACCCCUUAUAGGUCCGCAAACGAGUUCAGUUAUGUCUGUGGACAUGAUCAACCAUACCUCAAAUUUUCUCCUUCACAACUGAAUACGUCCAACUAUGAAACAUCAAAUCCAUAUAAUUACAUAAAAUGUAAAACUAGACUAAAUUUGUGCAGGUUGUCGUCCUUGUUGUUUCAACCCUUUUCAUGUCUGACGGUCAACUUAGCUCCUCAAAGUGAAGGUGUGUCGCCGGCAAGGUAGAGUAGAACAUGAGACACGGAGUGUCCCACGAGACUUGAGGCGCCAUGGUCUCCCAUGCCCUACUCUUCUUCGUCGGAGCCCGUGGCAUGCAUAUUGUCGGUAGAUAUGAGGUCGAUGAUGGAUACGUCAUGGUAGGAGCCCGACACGUCCAUCAUGACGUGGUUGCGUCGCGAGGGGUUACCGAUCACCCGUGCACCGCGGCGUGGGACUCUGCCUCGUCGGUGUCUACCAUGAGGGUUGUCACAGCCUCUCGCGCCCUCCGACUCGCACGUCGCGACAUAGCCUUAGCAGAGGGGUCACAAAGGACCUUCGUUUCGACGCGCCAAUGAAGGGAUCACAUCUCCACAACGAUGUUUGGACACCAAACAGACCGCAUCGCCUCGGGUGAGGCAGUGGCGACGCACCUCACGCCGGAUCCAAGCGCCAUUUGAACGGACACUAUGGAUUCUCACCGGAUCAAGUUCAACCACUGUUGGGCGUUCUUCUAGAGGGCGCGGUGGACCACAAUGCGGACGGUUAUCUCCUCCUGAGGCUCGCAUAGGAUGAGCUCCCAGACCGUAGAUCAGGUGACCGACGACUCGGAUCCGCUGUCCGUCAUGCCGGAGAAGGCUGGAAGGCAUCCUGGGAUGGAGUUGAGUUUAUUGGUUACACUUUGUCCGGUGAGCAGAUGAGGACAAAUAUAUAUGGGAUCGGAGUGAGCUAGCGUGAGCCGGAUCCGACAUGACGGACAUAUCCGUACACGUCUUUAUCCAUCACAUAUUUAAACUGAAUAUGAGGGGUGCUUGUCAGUUCGAAACAUUUUGUCUUGAUUUUUUUUUAACCGGUCAUCAUGAGCCCGACGCAUAAUGGAAUUUGAAGAGACUGGGUGUAAAUACUCUUAGGGUAUGCUUCUCUAGUGUAGUUGAAAAGAGAGUAACAAAAAAGCUUGGGCACCUUGGCACAAAUAAAGGAUAAAGGGAUGCCAUUUGCCGGCAAAGAAAAAGAUCCAUUCUUCGGCGAGUAAAAUGUUCGUUCAGAAAUUCCUUCUACUAUAUUCCAUCGUUCGGCGAGUAAAAUGUACUUUGUUUCGACGUGCGAAGCUCCCAUUGUAUUGGAAGCUAACUGAAGAGUAUCAAAAAAUAUAUCAUGUAUGUACAUUGUCUAAUAGCCCAAUGCCUGGAUAUGAAAGCUAACUGUAAAGAGUAUCAAACUGAAGAUGUAUGUUAGAGGUGGCAUUACUAAACUCAAAAGUACGUGCCAGCUUCACUGGGUUUCCAUUCCACCAUAACAUCAUCACCGUGGGAUCGUGCAUUAUAAAAUGGACCCAACUUGGUGACAUCCAGAGGAAGGAUCAUAUCCCACAACUCGUGUGCUGCUAGGGUCGAGCUGCAUGCGCUUUUCCACCGGCCGGCAGCGGCCGCGCUUUUGCAUGCUAUCGCCAUUCAUUCUCCACCACAUAUGGCAGCAGCAGCAGCAGCGCUUUCGCAUGCAUCUCCGUUCUCCACCACACAUGAGUACACGUCCACGUAGGUAGCAUGUGGGAUUAUCUUGGAUGAAUCUCAGGAGGAGGAGGCGGAGGAGGUUGUGUGGCAUUAAGGCGUGGUGAUCACGGAGCUGGCUGGCUGAUCCGGUGUCAGGAGGGACCCGGUGUUGGGCGGGCUCCGGACCCGGUUUGUCGCCACCGUUGGAGCGUGCGUCAUCGGAACUCGCGCAACACGAGAGUGGGGAGGGAGGUGGUAUCGUGGCAUCGUGCGUGUGCAUGUGCGGUGCCCGUGCCCGUGGAGCGGCAGGCAUGAAGUGUAUACCUAGCCAUGGGAUACCGGGCCCUGCCGGCCCGAUCCGGCCCGACCUGCUCCAACCAUGUCCAUGGAACGGGCCGGGCUUGGAACUGAUCUUUUUGCAAUUUAGGGAAGAGCCGGGUCCGAGGCCCGACUGGCUUUUCCUCUGAUGGGCUGGGCUUGGGCCUCAAAUACAGGCCCGAUAGCCAGGCUGGGCCGGGCCGGGCUCGGGUCUGGUUUUUUUUGUCACGGCCUUUGUUAGGUCCGGCCCGAAGCCCGUCCUGACCCGAGGUACGGCCAGGUAUACAUGAAGCCUUCAUAUGAGGACAGGCACAGGGAUGCUUCUAUAUUGAGAUGCGGAGAUACUGCAUGGGUGAAGUAGAUAUAUUUAAGAGCAACUCCAACGCGCUGACCCAAACGUACAACGAUUUUGUUCGUUUUUUGUCCGUUAAGUAGGUCACCCGCUCGACGUUUGCCCUGUUUAAGAUUUGGAUCGGCUCUGCGUCCAACGCACGCAAUCCAUAUUUGCCGGCGUGGUCGGCUGGCCAUCGGUUUUCAACAAAUAUGCACAUAUUUUGUAUUAUUUGAUAAGGAGACAUAUAGAAAGAUAGCAUAGUUUCACAAUCAAAUAAAGCAUAGUUUUUAAAUAAUAAGUAUAAUUUUACAAACAUAAUAAAAGUUAAAUUAUCUCAAACACAUAUGAAAAAAUAUAUAUAUUGGUUGUCAACAUGAGCCCACAUAUGCUCAACCAAAUCAUUUUGUAGUUGCAUGUGAGUUUCUCAAUCACGCAUUUCAUAAUAAAAUUGGACGAACUGUUCAAACGUUGCAGCUCCUUCAUGCUCAACCACAAUAUUCUCACCUUAAAACUGAAACCCUUGAUUGUAGAUACAUUUAGGACGCUCAUCUUAUACGAUCAUAUUGUGCAUAAUCACACAAGCUGUCAUCACGCGUGUCCCAGAGCUUCUUGGUGCGCCAAGUCCUAGCAGUGUACCGAACAAUCCCAAUCGAGAUUGCAAAACAACAAAGGCACGCUCGACGUCCUUCCUAAUACUCUCUUGCUCUUUGGAAAAUAUUUUCCUCUUCUCUCCGACAAGGUCGGGGAUUGCCUUCACAAUAGUGGUCCAAUGAGGAUAGAUACCAUCACCCAGGUAGUAUCAUUUUUCGUAGUUAUGGUCGUUGAUGGUAACAUUCACCGGUGGGUUGUUGCCUUCCACAAGCCUUGCAAACACCGCGAGCAUUGAAGCACGUUGAUAUCAUUAUGUGAUCCGGCCAUGCCGAAAAACAGUGCGAGAUCAGGAUAUCUUGUGAGGCCGCGGCCUCAAGUAUGACAGUGCAAGUCCUGACAUGGCCCUUAUACUGCCCUUGCCAAGCGGUAGGGCAGGUCUUCCACUCCCAGUGCAUGUAGUCUGUGCUGCAAAGCACCCUUGGGAAGCCCGUUCUCGCAUUCAUCGCCAACAAGCAGGCUGUAUCUUGAAGAGUUGACUCUCUCAAGUACUCAGGGACAAACACAACAAUCACAGCCUUGCAGAACCUGUAGAUAGACUCUAAGAAUGUAGCCUUGCUCAUACGGACUUACUCAUCAAUGAGAUCAUCGGGCACUCCGUACGCAAGCAUCCAGAUGGUUGUAGUACAUUUCUGAUAAGAUGAGAAGCCAAUCAUUCCAAGGACAUCCCCUUUGCACUCAAAAUAGUUAUCAUGUCCGAUCACCCCCUCUCUAAUACGGUUGAAAACAUGCCUAGCCAUACGGAAACACCGCCGAAAUUUCUGAUGUUUGAACAGUGGGUUGGUUGUGUCAAAGUAGUCCUUCCAAAGAAGGAAAUGACCCCUCUCUCGGUUAUGAUUCAACGUUGGAAGGUGUCCCGAGAUCGAGCCACAAAACAACGGCUGCUGGCUAUUAAGGUGGUGAUGGACCAACACAAUAGUCAAGACCUCCUCCUCAUCAUCGAACGAGGAAUCUCCGGGGUCACAAAGGAAAUUGUGUAAAAAGAUCUCAUCGGUGUAGUCCAUUUUGUACCUUGGCAAACUAUCGAACAACUUGUGGACAGCAUCAAAGGAGCUGGCCGACGAAGAGACGCACGCCUCCCUUGGACCAGGUGGCUGUCCUAGAGAAGUCCCGACUGCGAGACGGUGGUGGCGGAGAGGUGGCGACGUCAGGGAAGGUGUGUCGGCACCGGCAAAUGGGUGGCGGCGACGACACGGCAAAGCAGCGAGGGUUUGCUAUCGAUAUGGGGUGGGAGGGGAUGACCAAUGUGCCAUCGACUAGCGGGCUAGGGGGAGGAGUAGGCGGGCGCCGCAUGCAUCCGUCUCGUGUCUGUGCGACGCAAAUCGGGUAAAAAUGGGCCGGGAAUGGGUCGGUAGGCGGACGAAAAGCGGACGCACGUCCGUUUGGGUCGGUGCGUUGGGCUGACUUUUCUGUCCGUCGUGACUCAAACGGACGCGUGCGGACGAACUGGGUCAGCGUGUUGGAAUUGCUCUACCUAUGUUAUGUACAAGGGCUCAUUGAACAUCUACAGCCGAGCACCCUAAAUUUGUCUCAAAUGUCUGAGUUGGCGGACCGGUGAUAAAAAAUCUCGUCACCCGAGCGUCUCAAACCGGCCUCAAACAUCUGGAUUGUGUGACGCCCCUCCGGCUCCAACCAUCACUAUGAGGAGGAGUUGGCCCUUCACAUUGCUUUGGAGCGAUCUAAGGUGGGCAUCAGGGGCCGCUCCGGAUCUGCAGCGUCACCAUAGCUCCCGCGUCCGUACUAGACCCUCCCGGCCCACAGGCAGCUCUGCCAGGACAACACAGUCCGCUUCGCCCCUGCACAGUCCCUUUCCCUCGACGGUCGCUCCUCCACGAGGGAGCGAUGGGUUCUAGUGUCGGCGUUGCCAGCCCGCAAGCGCACUCCGGAGACGGAGGUGCAUGCCGCCCGCCACCUGCAAGGGAGACGGGCGUGGUGGUGCAGUACGUGCGCUGCCACCGCACGAUGCAUGUAGAGCCCGACGAGGACGAGCGGCUCCUCAUACGGGUCUAUCGUUGGUCGCUCAUGACAGCGGAGACAGACGCUCGCCGCCUACGGCUGAAGAAUGCGAAAGCGCUCCAGAUUGCUAGUGAGAAGUCGGAGCAUGAGGUAAAGAAGGUUGCUCGGGUUGCAAAGUUGAAAAGGCAUCAGGACAUGGUUGUCCGCCGGAUGAAGGUGUGAUCGUCCUCUCCGACGACGGCGACCACCACAGCUCCACCUCCUCCAACGAUGACCAAGAUCCUCCACUAGUUGCAAACGACUACAGCUGCAUGAGCGAUCGAAACGGCCAAGGCCCAAGACACAAGUAGUGAUCCCGCUCCUCCUUCUAUGUUUAUAUCAUUUUUAGUUUCCUGAAGUUUAAGAACUUCCAGCGAUGAACUCUUAUGAUAUUUUGGAUGAUGUAAAGUUUGUUUAUGUGAAUUUGGUUGUUCGUUUCCAGCUGAUUUUUGUUGUCUUUUGUUUAAUCACGUAGAAUAGCUUCACGUUGCAUGUGUAGUAUGAAUAUAGGAUGUCGGAUAUGAGAUACACGGAUGUGAAGGAGAAAAUAUGAUGCAUGCCCGGUUAGUACAGUGGGCGCGUCCGCCGACGUUUAAGGUGCUGAAUUAGGCCAUCGCGGUUGUAGAUGCUCGUAGAUGCUCUUUCUCUUUGUGUUGGUUUUGGUGCGUGUUUAUGAUUCAUAGUGGAGUACAUUUGAUCUAAGGUGAUAAAAUUGGCGAAACUUGUUAAACGAGAUAAAAUAUGAAAUAAUGUGUGGGGUCCGCACAUAUUCACUGUUCUGCCACUCUUCCUGCGUCAAAGCUCCCUUUUACCGCCUCGAUUCCCUUUGGCCCGCCUGUUCCGUCAUCCACCACUGCCACCAUGGGUCCAACGGGGUCCUUCCCAAUGUUUGUCAUCCUGCUGGACCCGAAAAACCCACCUGCGGGGCCCGGUCCAUGAAAUGGCAAGGGAGACGCUUGAGGGAGAGGGCGAGCAAGAAGGCGACGACACUAAAUCUAGAGCUCCCCCUCCACGUUCGACCGAUGUGUCCGUGAUACUCUGACAACCUCAACCCUCCCCCCGCCCAAUACACCGGACACCCAAAUGGUCGACCGAGGAGGCAACGGUUGCAAUACUCUUCCACCGGCCACCUUCCACCAUACAUCAUCAACCUCAAAAGUGAUUAUAUGUUCAUAGAGUCACCAACGCUUGUCCAGUCAUGGUUUUCAUCCAAGGAGACAUUCUUUGGCGGUGACUGGUCACUAUUCGGUAGAAUGCCUCCCUAAUCUCGAGUUGGUCACCAACGAGGCGACGAUGAGCAUUAUCCACAAAUACGACUACUCGUUGAUGCCGGAUCAAGACACGUCAACGACCACCCAUUAGCUCGAGUCGGACGUUCCCGAUGCAUACCCAAAGAAGAAGAGAGAUUCGUCAUCAAACAAAGAGGAUGAAUUGUUGUGCCACGUAUGGUUUUUCAUGAGUGUUGACAUGUUUCAAGGCACGAAUCAAAAGGGUGCGGAUUUUCAGCAAAGUGUGCGUGAUUCCUAUCAUGAGCAAAAGCACAUCCCCACACCAUAAAUAAGUGAUCCAUGAUCGCAAUGGGGAGUCACUAGGCCAUUGUGGUACACCAUUCAACACCAGUUAACAAGCAUUGCAGCGCGUAUAGGCAAAUACAAAAUCGGUGGCUAAGUGGUUCAUCACUCCUUGAGCUCGUAAGUUUCAUUGUUUGUUGCCCUAUGUGUUAGUAAUUGGCUUAAUUGGCUCUAUUUUGAACUUGUUGACCAUUCGUUAUCUUGCUUUGCUAGCCAAACAGCCCCCCCCCCNNNNNNNNNNNNNNNNNNNNNNNNNNNNNNNNNNNNNNNNNNNNNNNNNNNNNNNNNNNNNNNNNNNNNNNNNNNNNNNNNNNNNNNNNNNNNNNNNNNNNNNNNNNNNNNNNNNNNNNNNNNNNNNNNNNNNNNNNNNNNNNNNNNNNNNNNNNNNNNNNNNNNNNNNNNNNNNNNNNNNNNNNNNNNNNNNNNNNNNNNNNNNNNNNNNNNNNNNNNNNNNNNNNNNNNNNNNNNNNNNNNNNNNNNNNNNNNNNNNNNNNNNNNNNNNNNNNNNNNNNNNNNNNNNNNNNNNNNNNNNNNNNNNNNNNNNNNNNNNNNNCCAAACAGCCCCCCCCCCUCGCCCGCCUUGUACCGCAAAACUGAGGGCAAUCCAUUCACGUUGAUGCAUUAUUUGUUCAAACUGAAUGGAUAAAGCAAGUAGGCACUCAUUUCCCAUUCCGCCAAGCAGGUGAGGAAGAAGAUGUUGAUCCAAUCGUCAAAGUGAUUUCACGUGCCACCCGUGUGCCUAGGACGGGGAAGGGGGAAUGGGGGACCAACAUGGAGAAGGGAUGGUGGCCAAGAUGUUAGAUAAGUUUGAGUACAUCAUGGCGAAGAAGGAAAAUAAGAUGAAGAGCUAUGAUAUGUUCAUGGAGAUGCAAAACAAGAAGAUCAAACUCGUGAAGAGGAAGAUUUUUAUCAAGGCCUCUUCUGAGGAGCAAAAGUUGUUGCUCGUGAAGGCGGCAAAGUUGGAUCUCGAUGCGGCGAAGUUUGUUCAAUACUUUCGUGCUACUAUGUACAGACGCUUUGCGCAUGAAGAGAAUGAAAUAAAGACUGAAAAUUGAGGUUUUUGACACCGACAACUGGAAUGGGGGCGUUUGGGAUCGAUGCAUGUAUAGAACGUCUUGAACAACCGGUGGUUUUGAUGGUAGUUGCAUUUGUUUUGCAACUAUUUGAACGUAUGGUUGAGAUGCUAUUGAUCUAGAUAAAUCUAUCAAAAGGAAGAUGACGUACAGGGGCAUACAUUUGGUGACUUUUGUUGAAUAGCCUCCAUCUGACCAGAUGUUCAUGGACACAUCCAAACAUGUUCAUGAAUAUUUGAUGGUAUCCAUAUGGUGAGGCGAAAUGCCUUGCGGGAGCACAUGUUUCUAUGUAAGUAGAACAAAAAAAAAAUAUACCGAGAGUGUAACAAAAUCUAGAGAUUGCACAUAAGAAUCUUCAUGUUUCUAUCUCACUGUUCUCGUCCAAAAUAACAUAUUUUUUGCGAUGAACAAUCUAAAGAAGCGAAGUUGCAAGCACUAGACUUUUUUUUACCAUAGUACGCAAAGCUACUUAUCUUGAAAAAAUUGCAAGCAUGCAAAGGAUCGAAGAAUCUUACUCUUAUGAAUUUUGUGAAAUUCGGAUAUACUACUCUGUGAGAGGGAAAUGAUCAGCAAUCAAAAUUAUUUGUGCACAAAAUUUACAAACACGGGUACAAGCCGCGAAGGCCGGGAACUAUUAUGGGAACACUGAAGUUUUUUGUGUGUUCAACCGAAGUAUUAUGAAUGAUAUAUAUAUAGGGAUGCACAAAUAGGCAAAUGCUAGUGUGUGAGAGCCUCUGCCUCUGUGCCACCUGUCCAUGGCGCUAGUAUAAAAACCCAGCUUGUGGUCCACACAAACCACAGCCAAAAGCGCAGCCACAUCCACUGAAGCAGAGAGGUUCCGUUUCCCGCCCACCUGGCGCUCCCGCCCCCAUCUUCAGCCCGGAUGAACGAUGUGAGGAACCAAGAGAAAAAAAAGGGCAAGGAAAAGGGAGAAAGAGGAAGAAGAAGAGGAGGAGGGAGGCUGAGCAUCAUCUGGCGAUGCGUCGUCGUGCUGCUCUGCCGCCAUGACUGAUCGACUCGUCGAUCAAUCCACCCCCCCCUGCGACUCUGCCUCGUGUAUCUGUUCUGUUCUGCUGUCCGGCCAUUGACGUGCUCAUCUAGCUAGGUGUUGUUCUUCCAUCCAUGUCCAUCCCCCCAUCUUCCUUCAUUGUGUUGUAGGUUAGAUGUGUACAGGCUUGACAGCUCUUUUGGUGUACAUACAUAGGCAGGGUGCGUAGGUAGUCUUAUUAGUUGUUUUCUGACUGUUACUCUGGGUUUCGAGGUUUGUUGGGUGUGGCGUGGUGCUCCCAAGUCCUGCAAUGGCGAGGAUGCGCAUGUAUCGAUCUGUUCUGGGUUACGUUGUUGGCAUCUCGGUUGUGUUUUUGCUAAAUGAGAAACGAAAAAAGGCCUGAAAAAAAGAGCUCCUGGUGUUA
rnacentral:lncRNA from 1 species